rnacentral:lncRNA from 1 species
AAAUUACCACCCGGCCCCUGGGGCCUUCCCUUAAUCGGUAACUUACACCAGUUUGAUGUCUCAAAGCCUCAAGUGUCAUUUUGGGAGCUGUCACGGAAAUAUGGCCCCCUCAUGUCCUUGCGUCUUGGUUUUGUGCCAUCCCUAGUAGUUUCCUCAGCAAAAAUGGCUAAAGAGAUAUUAAAAACCCAUGAUCUUCAAUUUUGUAGCAGGCCAGCCUUGGUAGGACAACAAAAGUUAUCUUACAAUGGUCUUGAUUUGGUAUUUUCACCCUAUGAUGAAUAUUGGAGAGAGAUAAGAAAAAUUUGUGUCAUUCAUCUCUUUAACUCUAAUAGGGUACAAAAUUUUCGACCCAUUAGAGAAGAUGAAGUUUCAAGAAUGAUUGAAAAGAUUUCAAAAUCAGUUGCUGCUUCUAAUCCCGUAAACUUAAGUGAGGUAAUGAUGUCUCUUACCAGCACCAUUAUUUGUAGAAUUGGUUUUGGCAAGAGGUACGAUGAAGAUAAAGCAACAAGUGGAAGAAGUAGAUUCCAUGCCAUGCUUAAUGAAACUCAAGCCUUGUUUGUAAGCUUUUUUGUUACAGAUUAUUUUCCUUUCAUGGGCUGGAUUGAUAAGCUCACAGGAAUGAUGCAACGCCUGCAAAAUAACUUCCAAGAAUUCGAUAGAUUCUACCAGGAACUCAUCAACGAGCAUUUGGAUCCAAACAGAACUAAAUCAGAAUUGCCGCAACCGGAGGAUAUAAUUGAUAUUUUACUUCAAAUACGAAAAGAUCGUGGAUUUAAAGUUGACUUGACUUUGGAUCACAUCAAAGCAGUGCUCAUGGUGAAUAAUUUUAUAAAUAGUUAUAUGUAGACUCGUGCUUAGGCGCAGACUCAAAAUUUUGCGCAGAUACCCAAUUUUACAGUCUUGUAAAAUGUUUUAUAAUGCUGUAAAGUGCCCUUUGACGUCCACCUGAGCAUGAUUAAUUUAAUAUAAUUUUAUUUGCUUUUAAGUAAUUUAAUAUGUAUAUAUGUAUGUUGUUUGUUUUGCAGAACGUAUUCGUUGCUGGAACAGACACGAGUGCAGCAACUGUGGUUUGGGCCAUGACUUACCUAAUGAAGAAUCCUAGAGCAAUGAAAAAAGUUCAACAGGAAAUCAGAUCGUUGAUUGGGGGUAACAAAGGCUUUGUAAAUGAAGAUGAUGUUCAAGAACUACAUUAUCUUAAAGCGGUAGUGAAGGAGACAAUGAGAUUGCAACCCACAGUGCCAUUACUAGUCCCAAGAGAAACAAUUGAAAAGUGCGUAAUAGAUGGGUAUGAAAUACCAGCUAAAACACUUGUCUUUGUAAAUGCAUGGGCGAUAGGAAGAGACCCUGAAGCUUGGGAGAAUCCGGAGGAAUUUUAUCCGGAGAGAUUCGUUGAUAGCUUUAUUGACUUUAAAGGGCAACACUUUGAGUUAAUACCGUUUGGUGCUGGCAGAAGAAUUUGUCCUGGGUUGAAUAUGGGAAUCGCAACUGUGGAUCUUGCACUUGCUAAUCUUCUUUACAAAUUUGAUUGGGAAAUGCCGCCUGGAAUGAAGAGCCAAGACUUGGACUUUGAUGUUCUGCCUGGAAUUACUAUGCAUAAGAAGAAUGCUCUCUCUCUUUUGGCCAAGUAUCAUGAGUAGGUAAAUUAAGGCACCUUGGUCAAUAAGAGUUUGAUCUAAACUAAAUGUAUGUUAUAGAGAUUGCAUGUAUGUCCUCAAUUGUGCUUCUCAUGUUUCCUUUCUUUCUUCUUAUGUAUAAUGAAUGUUGAUGUCUAUGUGCCCAUAGGCUGAGUGGUUUUUAAUAAUUAAAUUUCUUUUAGUUCAAAAUUUUGGGAGGUAAGGACUAGAGAAUAAUGGUUACUCUGCUCACUCUCCUAUACUAAUAAAAAAAAAAGUUGAUAUGAAUGUGAAUAUUAAUCUACUACAUUCAUUUCGUCUCAUAUUUUUUCCCCUAUAUUUUUUGCUUUAGAUUUAACUUCUAUCACUUAAACUGCUAUCUUUUUAUAUGAUUGGAUAGAGAUUGAAAUUUUUGCUGUUCCAUCUCAAUGUUAAUGCUAAUUUUAUCUUCACACCUUUACUGUAAUUUUCUACUUUUACUAUUAGAUGCUGAUAGGGUCUUUUCUUGGAGAUUACUUUACCAAAAAAAGUCUGAAAGAAGAUUUUAUAUCGAUCGGAUAGCAAGCUUGUCCAUAUAGUUUAUGGAUUAUCUGCAAGAGCUCUUUUUAGUGCGCAUACGGUUGUCCCUUCAUGUUAGCAUAUUUAUUCUGUCAUCAAUGAACUUUUGCAUUUAAAUGGUAUCAGUUCAAGUGAUGAAUGAAUUUUACCUAUUGCCUAUCUUGGACUAAAUUUAAUUUCAAAAAAUGAGCUUCCAGCUUAUGACUUAUACGUAUCUUGAACUUUGGUUUUACGAUCACCGUUGGAUGGAAGAGUGGCUUGAGUUUGUUAAUUGCUUCAGUCCCAGGACUAGUGUUUGGAAACAUAAAAUUUAACACUCCCCAAAAUAAUUCAAUAUACAACCAACUCCGAUGAUCAACAUCCUCAACCAAAAUUCUAAGUUUUACUCAAGAUAUCUCCAGAGUCUCAAAAGAUAAUAUUAUAACUAAUAUUAAUAUACCUCAGUUUAUUCUUAAUCCCAAAAGAAUAAUAUAACAAAAUUAUACAAUCUAAAAAGAACAAGAUAACUAUGAUAUCCUAAUAAAAAAAAUCAUCUAUAUCUUCUAACACCAUCACGUGGCCAAGAUUCAAAAUAUAUUUACAGUCGCUGGGUCGGUUUGGUGUACCUGCAACCUCCUGGUGGGAGGAGGGAAUAGAAUAAAAGCGGGAUGAGUAUAAAACUCAGUGAGAUCAGUGAGUGGAUAGUAGUUUUCGAAAAAUUAAUUCUUACUUUAAAAGAAAUAAUUAUAUCAUUUCCAAACACGAUUUCAUCAAACCAUAUGCGAGAAACCAAUAAUAAAUCAUUUAACAUUUAAAUCAGAUUACUAAUCAUGAAAAUCAUAUAUAAUAUCAUGCCUAAUAACUAUGGAAAUCAUAUCACAAUAUCAUAUAAAAUACACAAAUCUGAAAAUCAUCACCAAACAAGUACCCAAGGGAAAAAUCUCGUCGUAUCCGGACCUCAACGGACGGGCAAUGACGUACUAUCUAGGUACUACCAUGCCCCAGAGCUACAUGGAUAGACAUGAAAAUACCAUCUCAUAUCUCAUCAUAUCUCAUUAUAUCUGUGCAUGCAUAAUCUAGUCCCCAAAGGAUAAAAUCGCCCAAGCACACGGCCCAAAGCCUCUGUGUGUACUCAGACGAAUUCCAAAGGCAUGUAUCUCAUCUAUAUCAUAUGUAUCUCAAUAUAUGUCUGUAUCUCAUAUUUGUAUCUCUAUAAUCAUCAUACCGCAUGCAUAUGCCCCCAAAAAGCAAAAGCGCCAAAACACACGGCCCAAAAUCUCUAUGUGUGUUUAGAUAGGCCCCAAAUGCCUCUUAUCUCAUCUGUAUCACUGUAUCUGGAGGGAAGGAUAUUGUCCAAUGAUUUUAAAAACAAUCUCUAUACUCAUAUUCAUAUACAUUCUAAUUAUACAUUUCUUUCUUUAUCACAUCUAAAUAUAUUUUUCUCAUCUUUAAAAUACUGUCAUAUUUUAUUCAAUGUUGAUACGAAAAAUCAUUAACCAAACAUUUUAAUAUAAUAUCAAUGCGUGUAUAAAAUCCAUUAUGAGGAAAUCAUUAAAUCAGAACAUUUAAAAUACUAUUUUCGCAAACGUGAUUUACUAUCAUAAUUAAUUAUGAAAAUAUGUUUUGUAUAUUUUACUCACAGCGACAGUGUUCACGCUCGGUUAUCGUCCACGUCUGCGAAUCGGUUCUCGCUCACAGAUCCUCCUAAAUAAAAGAAACGGCAUAAUUAUUUUCUGUAAAUCAGAAUUAAGACUAAAUUUAUGCAAUAAACUCGAAACGAACAUCUAUCCAUAAUUUACAACUCCCGUAUCGAUAGAAUUACUGAAAUACCCUCAAAUAUGUAAAUCGUUAAAAUACUCCAAAAUCGUAAAUUAUCGAAUUACCCUCGGAAUCGUAAUUACACCCAAUCCUCAAUUUCAGAAAUUACUAAAAUAUCCACAAGCUCAAAAAUUACAAAAUUACCCUCAGAGUGUGAAAUUACUGAAAUGUCAUUGUCGGUCAACGGUCACUGGAAUUUAGUCAACGCUGUCCGGGAAGCUCAAGUAUAAAAGUUCCAAUAACGCUGAGUCUAAUAGUGCCGGCGGUGAGGUCCCACAUGCGGCAACGACGCCGUGAAUUUCCAACAAUUGGCCGGCGGCGAAACAGUGACUCCCGGUGACUGUAGAUGGUCAGGAAUUGAAGAGGGAGUUGUGGGGAACAAAAGUGAGGUGGUGGCGUGGUCAAAUUCCAAUAGAAUCAACGGCAAUGGUAUGGGUUUUGGCCGCGGUUUCUCAAGCUUGAAACGGCGACGAUCCCGUCUGCUUUCAGCGACAAUGACGACUGGGUAUGAUGGCCGGUCUUCAAGCUUCAGAUUGGUACCAAGCUUGACCGGUGGGGUGGCCAGAAUCGCAAGAUAUGGCCGGGUCAAUUUCGGGUCAAAACGGUCGGGUUUUUGGGUCGGUUUUGACAGCUUCUCUCUCACUCUCUCACACGUGUGUCUCUGUUUCCCCUGUUUUCCAGCUUCCUCUUUCAUUUAUUUUAACUUUUUAACCGCCUCAUUUUUUUAUUUACUUUUUCACAUAUGUUACAGAAUAACUUAAUCUUUUGCUAUUUUAUUACGUUCAGUUUAUAUACAGCUGAUUCAUUGUAACAAAUGUUAUCAUAAAUAACCACUCGGGCAGUAGCCCGAGUGGCCAGGGCUGCUGCCCUCCAACAAGUUGGAGGGCAGCAGUUCGAACCCCCACAAAAAUAUUGUGGGGGUAUUUCUUUCCUCAAUUAAUUUGAGUGAAGGUAGUCUUCUCUCUUACCCAUGAGUGAGGAGUAGACAUCCCUCGAAUAUUUGUGAGGGUUAAAAUCUGGGCAGAGCUCCAUUAGCAUUGAUGUCAGUUGGUCCCAGUAAUAGUCUGAUUUGUAAAUAUCAGUAAUAGUCUCAUGUAUAUGAGUUGUAAUCUGAGCAAUAGUCUCAUGUAAUCAAAAAAAAAAAAUGUUAUCAUAAAUGAUUCUCGAGUAAUUUCAUUUAUUUACUUUUUCUUCUUUCACAGUUGGCCUGUACGGUAUCAUUUACUUUUAUCUUUUUUCAAAUUUCUUUUAAUCUAGAGAAUGUUUGUUUUAGUCCUGAUCUUGGGUUACUGAAAUGUUUCAUUCCCUUUUCCUAAGUAUUUUUGUUGCUUGUUUAGCGGGCAAUACUGCAACAGUGAUUUCAAUUCACAAAAUUCUGUAAAUACUUAUUAUUCUUAGUGUGGUUUUAAGGUAGAGUGAACUUAAUAUUAUCAUAAUGGCUUACAUCCCUCCACAUAUGAGGCAUACUACGGACCCCCAGAGGCCAUCUCCAGUUCCAGAGAUGAUUGUGCCUAAAUUCAACAGAAAAUUAAACUUGGGAUCAUCCAAGCAUAAUGCAGACAUGAGUGGAAAGAUCGUGUAUGCAGACCCUGCCAUACACAGGUUCUUCAUAUGUGGCUUGGAUAAUGAUAGCAGCACUCCUUCUGUCCGCUUUGUGGAGUUUUCAGACGACCCUGUUGAGCAUAAAAGAUCGACGACCAUUAAUCUGGCUCGAGGUUACUGAUCUGCAUUUGUAAUUUUAUCUUAAAUAUGUUCUACUUUCUUUCUUUAUUUAUAUCCGGUGCUAACUUUAGUUAUAAUGACAUUUGGAUUUUGGGUUGGUAGAUAACGAUAAAUUAUGUGGGAAUACGUCAAGAAGCCCGUGGGAAUCGAUGGCAGAAAAUGUAUGGCCAGAUGUAUUGAGUGCUUGUAACAUUGUCAAGAACGAAAUGGAGGAAAAGCCAACAAUGGUUGCUAGAUUUGGCCAUCAUCUUUUCCGUGAGUAUGUGAUCUGGUUCCAUUGCUGUAACAGCUUGAACUUUUUAUUAGGUCAUUCCUUUUCUUUGGACUUUGAAAUUAAAGCAGCAAAAAUGCAUGUUCAUACUAAAUUCUGACAGAAAUCUUAUGGUCAUAUAAGUGCUGGCAGCUAAAAUUAUGAGCUUUACCAUUAACCCUACCACCAGCUGUGGAUGACUGUAUAUCGGACCUCCAAGCCGGGGACAAAAGUUAAAAUUGCUUUUAAAAGCCAAAGAGGAAAAGAUUUGUAGAAAGAAGGAAAAAGAAAAUGGCAAUUUAUAGUGCAUGCACUUCUUUCAGACUUGUAUCUCAUAGAAGCUUUCAUGGCAUCUAGAAUUUGGCUUUGGCUUUGCGUAGGACAUUUCAAUUGUUGCUGGUGGAAACAAAUAUAUCCAUUGUCUUAGUAUUGCUUGAUUUCCGGUGCAAGAAACAAAUAAAUUUGUUGCCGUGGCCAAGUUUUGUUGUUUGAUAUUUCAUUGGGACAACAAAGUAUACCACUGCUUCGCCUAUUUCUUACAUCUUUGCAUCAUAUAUUUCCAUUCUUCUAUCACAUCUUUGAAGCUUCUACUAGUUCUCAUAUUAGAAGCGCCUCAAAGAAAUAAUUAUUAUAUUAUUCGUCUUAAUGAAGGAGUGACAUACUGAGCUUAGAAAAUGCAAAAGAAGGUCAGGUUGCUGAAUCUGCUUUGAGCCCACUGAGGAGAUGCUUUUACACUGGUGUCCCUCCUACAUACAUGGGAAAAAUUGUAAAUGAAGUUGUGCCAAAAAUUGGGGUUGGUUUUGUAGAGAACAAGGAUAUAUACCAUGUCAAGGUAGUUCUCCUGCAGUCCUGCUAAAUACUUUAGUAGUCAUCACCAAGUUUCUUUUAUCUCUCACUUAAUUAGCCAUUGAUUCCCCCCCUUCUUUUUCUUGUGUAGUUGUCUGAUGGCACACGACAAAUUACGUGCAAAUGUACUGUUAAAGAAGAUCAAAAGCUUCAUCUCUAUAAGGCAAGUCUUUUGCUACUGGCUGAGUAUUAUUUAUGGACAACGGGUCCAAGUUUAUAAGUUGCCUCUUGUGUUAAGGAGACUUUUGCUAGUGGAAACAUUGAAACAAGACUUAUGAUGUUUUGAAUUGAAUGAUAUAAUCUUUUCACUGUGAAUUAUGAAGGAGAUGUCGAAUAUAAGCGAUAGAUAUCAAGAAAGAGACGAAACCUUUGUGUCUCAAAAGAACCUUUUAGAAGUCUCUCCAGGAAUAAUCUCAGUUAAGAGGAAAAGAAUUAAAAUGAAAAGAAGGAAGAAAAUUCUCAAGAAGUAAGACUAAUUCUACAUCUAAUUGAGGAACAGGCUUGUUAAUUUAACAAGGAAAGCUCCAGUAGCUAUUUAUUAUAAACCAAUUAAAAAUUGAAUUAAAUUAAUAGUUAACUUGUAAUUGAAUGUCUAAUCCAACAAACUAUGCAUAAGAUUACAGAUGUAACUAUGUAAUACAAAAAACCUCUGCUUAUCGUAGACCAAAGUGAAUAUGCCAAUAUUUAGGAAUUUCUUUCAGCAUCAUGGGAUUUAGAUCCCUAUAAUUUUUUUUAUUUUAGUGUAGUGACAUCCGGAAGACCAGAAUUAUCACGUACCUCGUAGUAGUCAUUUUAUGUCUUUUAAAGCGCCACAUUAUUUCCCAUACAGUCAUAAUAUAUCUAUUUGUUGUUUAUUUAUUGUUGUCGUGUGUGGAGUCUCAUCUUGAAUAUGAACAUUUUUCCGGAAGGUCGAGCUGAACUCUGUUCGUCACAUGGUAGCAGACAUGUUAUGCGUUCAUAAAAAUCUAGACCUGAGGUUGGCACUAUGUUCAAAGAGUACCUUAUCUGCUCUCUCGGUAAGUCAAUCUGCUACUCUGUGCAUGUUUAGCUGGACUUUUAAGUUACGCCUUCUUUUUUCCCCUUUUUAUUUUUUUUUGGUCAUUUGCUUGUUGGAAUCAUCAUCAUUACAGAAUGAGGAAGAAAAAUUCAAGACCAGGGGAAAUAAGGAAAUAUUAAACUUAUAGCUUUUGUUUUAUCAUAGAAAGUUUACUUUCAAGGGGUUGAGAAAAAAAAAAAAUUAUAUAUAUAUAUAUAUAUAUAUAUAUAUAUACACAUACAUAUAUAUAUAUAGGGAUGGCAAAAUCCGGGUCUGGGUCCGGGUUUAGCCUUCCCGGUUCCGGACCCGGACGCCAUUUUCUUUCUCUCGGUCCCGGAUUAAAACCCGGUUUUUUCACUUCGGGUCCGGUACGGGUUCAACCCGAAAAAAUCCGGGUUUUGAACCCGGAUCAAUGAAUUAAUUUCUAUAAUUCCAAAAAUAAAAUCUUCAUAUGAAGAUGGCGAUUUUUCACUGGAACCAGAGAAAAUAUUUAUGGCACCUGGAGGGAGUUCCCUCUGUUUUGCAGAUCAUUUAUACAGAACAAAAUGAUUAAAUACCCAAAAAGGAGGAUCACAUGUCUGCAGAUUUGGCCCGCGGAAAAGAUUCAACACAAUCUCCAAAACCAUUUUAGAAUCCGCGAUGGUGAAGAUGCGUUGUCACAACUCAAACAACGACAGCCGAUGAUGAUGAAUACAGGAGCUACAAGGUUGCGACGGUGGUGAACCCAAGAGAACGAGUUGCGACGGUGGCGAACCAAGCUUGCGACGGUGGUGAACCCAAGAGAACGAGUUGCGACAGUGGCGAACCAAGCUUGCGACGGUGGUGAACCCAAGAGAACGAGUGGCGACGGCGGCAAACCAAGCUUGCGACGGUAGCAGCUUGGAUCGUAUGGUUGUUUGGUUGCAGCAAGCGGCAGCUUCAAUGUGUGAAUGUGAGUAUGUAAAUUAGGGUUUUUGUUAUGUUUGUAUUUAUAUUAAAUAAUAAAUAUAAUUAAAAAAUAAUAUUAAAAUAAGAUAUCCGGGUCCGGGUUCCGGAUAUACGGGUUACUCUAAACUCGGAAUCGGACCCGGAUCUAUCCGGGUCGUUAAAAUUCAUUCCGGAUCCGGAUUUUUUUACACUCCGGUACGGGUUCAACCCGGUCCGGAUUAUCCGGAUUCGUCCGGGUCCGAUCCGGGUCCGGGUUAUUCUGCCAUCCCUAUAUAUAUACAUACACACACGACAACAAUACAUAUAUAUACAAAAUUGUGAUAUCGUGCCACAGUUGCACUCAACCGUUGGAUUUCUAUGGACCCCACCUAUCUAAAUGGAUCCAACGGCUGGAUGCAACUGUGGCACGGUACCAUAGUUGCACCGUAGCCAGACCCUGCAAAAGUAUAUUGAAGUUUUUUUCUGGCCUUUUAUGUAAUCACACCCGCCAGUAAUGAGAUAAUUUACAAAAAGGUCCUUGAUGUUUUGGUUAAAUUUAAUUAAAUUAGUAAAUUCAUCCAAAACGGCAUCGUUUUGAAUGUGUUUUUAUUAAGAUUUAUCCAGCAUUUCGUACAUAUAUCAGUGCUUUUUUUUUUUUGUUUAAUUUUUAUAAAGUGUUGGUUAGAAGGCAAACAUCUUACAUUAAAAUGGAGUCUUCUUGCGGCGGCCAAAGGAGAUAUAUAUAUAUAUAUAGGCACACACACAUACACUAGAGUUUUGUUUAAGUUAUAUUUCACAUGGAUUAAGUUGUAGAUGACAGAUCUCUAAAAGCAUCUUGUAAAAUUGUACAUUAAAAAAUAAUAGUUCUAGUAGUGUUAAAGGCAGCUGCUGAAAACAGUUUCUACUUAUGCUGCGUUUACUAAACUGGAAUCGGAAUGAGUUGGAAUCAGAAUGGACGGGAAUCGAAAUGAGCUGGAAUGAGAAUCAAAAUAAGUUGUUUACUUGAACUGUAGGAAUCGAAAUCGGAAUGAGCUGGGUUGCCAUUAAUGUGUUUACUUUGUCUUGAAUCGGAAUCAGAAUGAGUUAGAUUGUAACAAAUUACUAAAAAAUACUUAAUGAAUUAUUGUCAUAAUUAUUAUUAUUAACUAAUUUUAAAUUUUUUAUCAAAUUAUUAUAAUUAUAUUAACAAUUAUUAUAAAAAUAUAUUAACAAAUAAUAUUAAUAUUCAAAAAUUAUAAUUAUUAAUAAUUAUUGUUAAAAAUAUAUUAAUAUAUUAAUUAGUACUAAUAAUUAUAUUAUUUAAUUAAUUAUAAUAACUAUAUUAAUAAUUAUUAUAAUAACAUGUUAAUUAAUUAUUUACAAUAAUAAUAUAUUAAUUAUUGUGAUUAUUUACUCAAGAACAAUAAUUAUUAAUAUAUUAUUGUUAAUAAUAUAUUAUUAUAUUAUUUAAUAGUGAUAAUUAUAUUAAUUAAUAAUAAUAUAUGAAUUAAUUCUAAUAAUUAUAAUAGUAAUUAUUAUAAUAAUAUAUUAAUUAAUUACAAUAAUAAUAUAUUAACUAUUGUGAUUAUUUAUUCAGAAAUUAUAAUUAUUAAUAAUUAUUGUUAAUAAUAUAUUAAUAUAUUAAUUAGUAGUAAUAAAUAUAUAAUUUAAUUAAUAAUAAUAUAUGAAUUAAUUAUAUUAAUAAUUAUUAUAACAGUAUAUUAAUUAAUUAUAAUAAAAAUAACAAUAAAUUAAUUAUUGUGAUUAUUUAUUCAAAAAUUAUAAUUAUUAAUAAUUAUUGUUAAUACUAUGUUAAUAUAUUAAUUAACAGUAAUAAUUAUAUUAAUUAAUAAUAAUAAUAUAUGAAUUAAUUAUAGUAAUAAUAUUGAUAAUUACUAUAAUAGCAUAUUAAUUAAUCAACUAAAAUAAUAAUAUAUUAAUUAUUGUGAUUAUUUAUUCAAGAACUAUAAUUAUAGUUAAUAAUAUAUUAAUUAAUCAUAAUAUUUAUUUAAUUAAUUAUAAUAAUAUAUUAAUUAAUUAUAACUGAGGACAAAGUGGGUAUUUUUAGUUUUGGGGGAUGGCAAAAUGGGAAUUCUUGGGAUGGGAGAUUGAUUCCCACCUCCCCCAUGGGAAUCAAUCUCCCAUUCCCCAUUCCCAAAUAGUUGUGGGCCCCACCAUUUUGAUUUCCAUUCCUGCUUCAUUUUUGCGAAGUAAACGCGUCAAUCAUUCCGAUUCCAGAUUUCGAUUCCCCAAUUCGGGAAGUAAACGCACCAUUAGUUUCUAGUAUAUCCAUAUAUAUUUACCUAAAAAAGAAGGAGGUAAACGUCUUUUGUUUUUUUUUUUUUUUUAAAAGAGAGAGAGCGAGAGAGAGAACAUUUUCUACUGUGUUCACUGACACACCCCGCCCCGACUUAUAUGUUGGAUCCGAGGCGAAUCAUGCGGUCUAGUAACUAAAACUCGUGGCACUAACUUAAUUCAUGUAUAUAUAUUAAUAGUUUUCUGGUUAGGGAAUUGUAAGCUUUUAAAGCCGUGCAGUUUUAAAGUUUUCCCAGACUUUCCCGCACUUUAAAAUUCCAGACUGGAACAUUUAUAUAUAUAUAUAUAUGACCUUUACUAUAAACACAUAACAACCUUUGUGUCUCCUCCGAAAAUAUAUAUGUAUUCAAAACUUGCACAGUUCAUGUCUCAUUAUACAUACUUACAUUACAAGUAUAUAUACAAAAAAAACAUAAACAACAUAAAUGUGCUCAAAAUGCAAGACAUGCAACAAUGCGUCUCGUGGGCCCACCCCAAUUGACUGGAACUGAUCUGCACGAAAUCCUGCGGAAUCCUGGGAAAAAAAAUAGAUAAAUAAGAAAAUAAUGAGCUUGCGGCUCAGUGAGUGGAUAUAAUUUAUAUAUAGAAAAAUAUAGUAGCGUACUAGGAUAUAUACAUAAUUAUGUGACAUAAUUCCGCACUGAAUGUAAUGCAUCAACAAACAUGAAAAUCAUACACACAUGACAAAAUUGUACCAAAUAGUACCCAGGGGAAAUAACUCUCAAUACUUGCUGGGAUCAUCGUCGCACGAGAAGAGCGGGAAAACUCUCAAUACCCAGCGGAAUUUAACUAAAUCGCACGAGUAGAGUAGCCUAACUCUCAAUAUGCAUGCGUAGAGCCUAUGGAGAAGGGUACAUAUAUGGUGACUGACAAUCACAUCUCAUGACUCAAUCAAACAUAUAAUAUGCAAAUAUAUAAUCAUGAUAUUAAAUCAUAUUAUCAAAUAUAAAUGCUUCACGAAAUUCAUAUUAGUAAUAAUAGUAUCCACUCACAAAUCAUGUUUCACUUCGGGGUGUUUGUUGGGGCUCCUAUGGGUUCUUGAAUUCUUGAGUUCCUCCUAAAAUAUAAGAUUAAAAAAUUAACUAUUAAAACUGAUAUAAAAAUUGAUACGUAUCACAAAAACUGUAAUAUAACUGUUCAAACUUCAUAUAUCUAUUACCCAUUAAUUCAUUGGAUAUUAAUGUAAGUGUUUAAUUUCAUUUCCUAUAACAUUCCCUCUCAAUUUAUCUUUUAAAUUUCUUUUCCCACUCUUGGCUUCUUCCUUUCUUUUAUUUUUUUUCUUUCCUCUUCUCUUUUGCUCUCAGUUUUUCUUCUUUUUCUUCUCUGUCUCACUUCAAAAAAUGAUGCAAAAUGAGAGCUGGUUUCAAUUCCUUCAAAUUCAUAUAUGUCCACCGACUCAAGCACACAAGUAGAGCAUACGGGUGAAGCAUGCACGUGCCUUGCAUGAAGCUGGUAGCUUGCUGCUGCUUUGAUAAUUAGCCACGUUUGGCUUAUAAAGAAGCGGUGAAGCAUGCACGGUGCAUUACAUUCAUGCUAUCUACGGAAUGAUAAAAACUAAACUUCAAGUACAGCGGAGUAAAACCUGUGCACACAGCUUAACAUUUUAUGUGGCAACUCUGGAAGAAAUCUCACAAUGAAAAUAAAAAUUACAGGCGAAUGUUGCAAGUAUAUUUCAUUCAUAUGUCAAUUUUUGAAAACCUUGCUCUGUAAGUAAACCAACCAAUCUAUUUGUGACAAAUGGGAACAAGACAGUAACCUCCUUAUUUGAUGAUAUGCAGCAUUUGCAGAAGCUGAAACAGUAAACAUGGGAAUGAAAGGAUUAGAAUCAUUUGAUAUAUUUUUUUUUAACUAGAAUUACUUCCACCGUAACUGAUAUAAUUAAAUAAGAGAGAAUUUACAAACUAAUUUUUUAAAUUCUCUCAAAUAAGUAAGCAUAUUAAUUAAAAAAAUUAAAUUAAAAGUAUUUCAUUUAAUUAUUUUUUUAUUGAAAACUAAUAAUUAAUACAUAUGCAUUCUCUACAGGUUUAAUCAGGUUUUGUUGUUGUACACAUUAGUAUAAUAAGUUUAAAUGAAGUUUAAACUUUGAUAAUUUAAAUUAAAAUUCUCACAAUUAUUUGAAGAUUGUGGUUCGGUGAAAUGAAGUUUAUCCAGUAUAACAUACCAAAAAGGGGGCGGCUAAGGAGGCAGCCAGGAGGCAACCGAGAGUUAGCAAAAGAGGCAAGAAAAAGGCAACAAGCCAACAAUGAAGUCAAAAGCUCAAGAAGGGAAGCGGUGAAGCAAAUCCGACAAACGCAAGCAAGAGUUAAGCUGGCUGUUUCGCAUGACACAUGUGAAGCUUCAUCACAAGCUGGCUGUUUCGCAUGACACAUGUGAAGCUUCAUCACAAGCUGGCUGUUUCGCAUGACACGUCUAUGCUAUUUUUCUUCUGGAUUUAAUCUAUCAUUGUCGACGACGACGAUUUGCUAACCUCACAAGUGAUAAGGACUCUACAAGAGUACAAAACAGAGACUCGUAAUAUUACUGAAUAUAGCAUUUCUGUUUCCUUAUUAAUGGAGAAAGGCAGUUAUGUUUUUGCAGCGGUCAAGGGCAUUGAAGAUAUUAUGGCUUUACUUAUCAUCGUUAGCUUCCUUCUGUGUCUCCCAUUCUUCCUCUUCUUCUUUGUUUUGCAAAGGCACAAAACCUCGAAAAAUAAUACUAAAUUACCACCAGGCCCCCGGGGCCUUCCCUUCAUCGGUAACUUACAUCAGUUUGAUGUCUCAAAGCCUCAUGUGUCAUUUUGGGAACUAUCGAAAAAAUAUGGCCCCCUCAUGUCCUUGCGUCUUGGUUUUGUGCCGUCCUUAGUAGUUUCCUCAGCAAAAAUGGCUAAAGAGAUAUUGAAAACCCAUGACCUUCAAUUUUGUAGCAGGCCAGCCUUGGUAGGGCAACAAAAGUUAUCUUACAAUGGUCUUGAUUUGGCUUUUUCACCCUAUGAUGAAUAUUGGAGAGAGAUUAGAAAAAUUUGUGUCAUUCAUCUCUUAAACUCUAAUAAGGUACAAAAUUUUCGACCCAUUAGAGAAGAUGAAGUUUCAAGAAUGAUUGAAAAGAUUUCAAAAUCAGUUGCUGCUUCUAAGCUCGUAAACUUAAGUGAGGUAAUGAUGUCUCUUACUAGCACUAUUAUUUGUAGAAUUGGUUUUGGCAAGAGGUACGAUGAAGAUGAAGCAACAAGUGCAAGAAGUAGAUUCCAAGCCUUGCUUAAUGAAACUCAAGCCUUGUUUGUAAGCUUUUUUGUUACAGAUUAUUUUCCUUUCAUGGGCUGGAUUGAUAAGUUCACAGGAAAGAUGCAACGUCUGCAAAAUAACUUCCAAGAACUUGAUAGAUUCUACCAGGAACUCAUCGACGAGCAUUUGGAUCCAAACAGAACAAAAUCAAAAUUGCCGCAACAGGAGGAUAUAAUUGAUGUUUUACUUCAAAUAAGAAAAGAUCGUGGAUUUAAAGUUGACCUGACUUUGGAUAACAUCAAAGCAGUGCUCAUGGUGGAUAAUUUUAUAAAUAGUUAUAUGUAGACUCGUGCUUAGGCGCAGACUCAAAAUUUUGUGCAGAUGCCCAAUUUUACAGUGUUGUAAAACGUUUUAUAAUGCUGUAAAGUGCUCUUUGACGUCUCCGCCUGAGCAUGAUUAAUUUAAUAUAAUUUUAUUCGCUUUAACUAAUUUAAUAUGUAUAUUGUUUGCUUUGCAGAACGUAUUCGUUGCUGGAACAGACACAAGUGCAGCAACUGUGGUUUGGGCCAUGACCUAUCUAACGAAGAAUCCUAGAGCAAUGAAAAAAGUUCAACUGGAAAUUAGAUCGUUGAUUGGGGGCAACAAAGGCUUUGUAAAUGAAGAUGAUGUUCAAGAACUACAUUAUCUUAAAGCCGUAGUGAAGGAGACAAUGAGAUUGCAACCUACAGUGCCGUUACUACUUCCAAGAGAAGCAAUUCAAAAGUGCAUAGUAGAAGGGUAUGAAAUACCAGCUAAAACACGUGUUUUUGUAAAUGCAUGGGCGAUAGGGAGAGAUCCUGAAGCUUGGCAGAAUCCUGAGGAAUUUUAUCCGGAGAGAUUUGUUGAUAGUUGUAUUGACUUUAAAGGGCAAAACUUUGAGUUAAUACCGUUUGGUGCUGGCAGAAGAAUUUGUCCUGGGUUGAAUAUGGGAAUUGUAACUGUGGAGCUUGCACUUGCUAAUCUUCUUUACAAAUUUGAUUGGGAAAUGCCGCCUGGAUUGAAGAGCCAUGACUUUGAUGUUCUGCCCGGACUUGCCAUGCAUAAGAAGAACGUUCUUUCUCUUCGGGCUAAGUAUCAUGUUGAGUAGGUAAAUUAAGGCACCUCCAUCAAUAAGAAGGUAAAUUAAGGCACCUCCAUUAAUAAGGGUUUGAUCUAGCUAAAGGAAAUAUAUGUUAUGCGUCCUCAAUUGUGCUUCUCAAUGUUUUCUUUCUUUCUUCUUAUGUAUAAUGGAUGUUUACGCGAAUGGUUUUUAGUAAGUAAUUUUCUUUUAGUUCAAAAUUUUGGGAGGUAAGGGCUAGAAGAUAAUAGGGACUCUGCCCACUCUCUUAUACCUUUAAAAAAAUGAUAUGAAUGUGAGUAUCAAUUUAUCACAUUUAUUUUGUCUUACAUUUUUCUCUCUCCAAUUUCAAAUUAUAAAUGUAUAUAUAAAUACACGAAACGACCAAUCAAUAUUAUUUACUUGAUAUAACUAAUAAGUAAAUUCAUGGCUUUUUCUAUCACCCCUUUUUUUGUUAGGAGUAUCAGUAAAAUCAGCUCUGUAAUGCUCUACAUCUUUACCGUGAAAGCUGCAUUUUUAUGGAAUCAGCUUACAGUUAUGUACUAACCAAAAAAAAAGAAAAAGAAUAUUACAUCAAUUCUUCAUUGAGAUUUGAGACAUUUUCUUCCUCCAGAAAGUAUACAAGUUAAAAAAACUACACAUCAUUGUGAUUUCAUAACAGCAUCAUCCAUCACUUUCCUAUGAGCUUUUUAUGAGGCCGGAGGCUAAAGCACAAUCAGUUGAGCUGUUAUUGCAUUUCCCACAGCAAGACUGUGGCAAAUCAGUUGACUUUUGACGUUAAAUGGUGGUUUCGGCUUGCAGUCACUUGUGUUUGUUCAAUUUCAAUAAAGGAAAUUUCAUUUUUGUUAAAAUCCAUGAAUAUUAAUUACUACCUUGUUCGCUGUUCAGUAAAACUAAAACAACACCAAAACUUAAAUAUUUUCGCUAUAUCACAAACUUAAAUAUUUUUUUUUUCCCCCUAUACAUCCCUAGUAAGGUUGACAGAAAAAAACCAAAUUUCAAUCGGUAUUGGGAUCCCCUCCCGAAUGAUAGGGGAUUUGGCACUAAUUUUUAAAAUCGAUUCGAUACUAAUUUUAACAAACACUUGCUUUAAACCAACUUAUUCUUCUACCACAUAAUUUACUUAACUUUCAUUACAUGAAAAAUAGUCAUUUUUUUUACCUAACUUGUUCGACAAUAGUUAAAUAUGUUGGUGAGAGGGCAGUUUUCAAUUGUAAAAAUCAAGACAUCGAGAAAAACUAAAAUGGCUAUUUGGUUUUUCUAAUGAAAAACUAAAACAACUAUAUGGUUUAGCGUGAAAUUUUAGCUUCAUUGGUAUUUAUGACGAUUGUAACUAACCAUUAAAAAUGCAUAAUUAUUUUCUACCUGUAGUGAUUUAGGUGCUGUAGAAUUCGAUUAGCAACCUAAGCACUGCCCAAGAUCACAAACCAGAUCCACUAGAUGCUAAGAACCCAAACAAUCAAGCUUUAAGUUUCAACAAAACCUUUAACGAAAAUGGCUUAAUCAGAACACACUCAGAACAAGAAUUAGAAACCAAUCACACCCAAAAGAAAGAGAAAUAUUUACGUGGUUCGAUUGUGCAAAGAAGCACAAUCUACAUCCACGGGAGAAGCCCACAGAGCAAGCUUUAUUGAUGAUUCAAGUAAUCUUUACAGAGCAAUACAAGAGCUAACUACUAGGAUCAAGACGAAGCUUUCUCUCUAUCUUAACUCUCUCUAUCACGCUCUCAGAUCAUCCAUGAAACUGCUUCUUUAACCAGCUUAUAUAGCAGCUGAUAAAGAACCCAGAAGUUGCAGAUUUCCGCCACCUGGACUAACAGCUUCUAACUGAUUUGAUUCUCCACCCCCCGUGCACUUCACAUGUUUCACUUAAGCCUUUUGCCGAAACGUCUCCAGCUCCUGCCGUUUUGAACUUAAGUGAAUCACAUGCCAUGCUCGUGACUCCUGAGUAUAUUAAACAUAUUCCAAACGUUGUCGUUUAACAUGCUCAAGUUUUGGAUUCAACAUUUUAGUCCACACUACCGUUUCAAAAACAUAGUCGAAAAUAAAAUAAUAUUUUCAAUUAUUGUAAUUUUUAAUCAAAAAUAGGAAAAUAUUUUUAAACGUAACUAGGAGUUGGUUGAAAAAACCAUUAAAAAGAUAUAAAAUUUUAACAGACAACAUGGGCACCAAUAAUGUUUUUCACUACUAUAACUUGCAAGGUUGGUCAAAGCAAAAGCUGUAAGGGUAAGUAAAUAUAAUAUAAAAUUAUAUAUCAUCUAAAAGAAAAGUAAUUGUACGUUUUUUUUUCUUAGUUUACUAUUUUUUUUAUCAAACAUGAACUAGAUAAUUAAAUAAUUAAUUAAUUAAUGUAUUUUUUUUAUAGAAUUAAUUAAUGUACUUAAUUGAAAAUAAAAUUAACUUCUACGAUGCAAACAGAAUUUGAGCCCUCAACUGAAAAGAUAAAAUAUGAAAGUGCCUACCACUGGAGCAAGAAAUAAUUUUCAGUAAAUUAUAAAUUAAAUAAUUAUGAAAGGAUUGAUUUUUUCUAAAGGUUUUACUAGGUGCAACAAUGGAAUUGAAUUACCUUAUUUAACUUAGAAGAUAUUGAUUGAUUACAGCAUAGAUAUAAUGUAUGAUAUCUUAAAUUAAACAUCAAUUAACUUCGAAAUUAUAUUGUAGUUCAAAUAAACUCGAUAAUAUUUAUGAUCACAUUCUAUCUUAUACACAAACUUGAAACUUAUGUUAUUGAUUAAGUCUCAACUAUUUUAAUCAUUAUCAUUGAAUCAAUUUAGAAAUUGAUUAUCGAACUAGCUGGUAUUUUAUAGUUAAGUAUUUAAAGAAAUAAUGUCUAUGAUUGAUCAUAAUUAUUGUUGAAUCAAUUUGGAGACUAGCUAAUUUUCAAAUUAAUGUAAUUAUCUAGUGGUCAAUUUCAAUAAAUAGAGUCUAAUAGUUUUCAUAGUUGUAUUAUACUCAUAAUUGUGGAACAUGGAACGUAUACUUCAUACUUAAAACUUAUUGCAUAUAUUAAAAAAAAUAGAUGAUUAGUAAUUAACAUUUAAUUAUAGUUGAAAUAUUAAUUAUUAAAUUAGUCUAAUUGUCUAAGAACAGUCAUACAAUUAAUUUCAAUAGAUAACAAGAACUAUUGCAAUAAUUUUUUUAUAUUUUAAAACAUAUCUCAACUAUGAAUUAUUAAAACUAAUAUAGCUUCAUAGUUUUUAGGCCAAUAUCUAUUUUCAUCUUUUGUUUAUCUUAUUAAUUUAAAUUUAAAAUCUAUGUUAAAUAAUAAAGAUGUUCUAUCAAUCAAUUUAGGCUAUAGAUUAAUUAAACAAUCUAGUAAUCACAUAAUAGGUAUUACAUAUAAUUGUUCAAUUAUAAUAAACUUUAAAUUUGCAUUAAUGAGAUAAGAAGUUUUGUUUUGCAAUUAAUCGAAUCGUAUGCUAAUAAUUUUCAAUAUUUAUUAUUAUUUCAAUAUUUAUUAGUAUGAAAUAACUAACUUAGGAUAAAUAAAUUGAUUGAUUGAUUUUUUCUUAAAUUUUAAUAUCUUGUAUUAUCUCUAUUAACUAUUUGGUCCACUGCCACCUAACUAAAGUUUUUAGUGCAAGUGUAUGUGUACCUAUUCUCCACUCUCUCUAACAAAUAUCUCAAUUAGCCACCGAAUCAAAUCUAAUAAUAGAAUAAAUAAAUAAAAGCCACCGAUAUUAAGCGCAACGGAUGAAUUCAUCUCCUCUUCUUUUGUAUAUUCUCUCCAAAGCUUUCAACUCUAUUUUGGGGUCAUUUUCUUAAUUUUUUUUAAUUAAACUAUAUAGAAACUGGGGAGAUGUUUUCAGAUAUUUAUUAAUUUUUAUCCUUCACCUUUAAUUUCUUAAGUUUGACAUCAGUUAUUGUUGGCCUCACUCUCACAUGGUUGGUUUGAAGCUUUUCUAUCAUGUAGUUCGGUGAAAAUUAUUUGAUUAAUCGUGACUUGCAGGUAAGAAUUAUAUUAUUAUUUUGUGUUAUGUUUUUAAUUUAUUAGAUUUUAAUUCACAAUUUAUUUGAUAACAAGUGAAAGAGAUGUUAAUUAGGAUAGAUUCAUUUUCUUGUUUAGUAUAUAGGAUUUUCUACUUUAAUUUAAUUGUAUCUUAAUAUUUUUUUUAUUGUUAUCAAGGGAAUUAAGAGCCUAGGAAGAAAAAAUUAUGAUAUUCAACUUUCAUAAGGAUUCAGUUGCUCAAUCCACAUUGAUUCUAUCUUUUAUCAACAGCAAAAUAUCAUUGCAAGAGUGCCAUGUAGCCUUUGGUGUAUUUUAUUUUAUUUAAAUAUUUGUCAUGGAUUCAAUGAUUAAUACGUAUUUAUUUUAUCUUUUAGUAGCAUUAAGUUAUUGUAAUAGCAUCAUGUAGCUUUAAGUCAUUGUAAUGGUGUCUUGUAGCACUUGUACUUUGUUUGAGUUGCACAUGUAUUUGUUGAAAUUAUUUAUAAAAGGAUAUUUGUCGAUUGAUUCAUUGAUUUUUUUCUCCUGAGGCAAUUAAUAAAACCAUUUUCAGCCAUAUAUAUUUGUCUACUAAUUCAUCAUUUUUUUUCCUAGAGGCGAUUAAUAAAAUGAUUAUUUUAACGAUGAAGUAGAAUCAAAUGAAUUUCAAUAAUCAUCUUCUUGGAAAUACUAAGAUUCAAUUAGAACUAAUAUUUAUUCGACUAUAAUUUAUUUUUUCCAACUGUUUUUACCCCUAAAAAAUAGUGUAUUUUUAAUGGUAAUUAGUUAGUUGAAAUUGAUAUUGCAAAUACAACUGCUAUCGAAAAUACUCUUUUUUACUACUUAAGGUGGUCAUAAAUAUCAGUCAUUAGUCACAUGUCCAUAUUAAUUUUCAAUCUAUAUUUAUGUAUUUAUGAUUGUCAAUUUCGCACCAAAUAAGCAUAUUUACGGCGGCCAAUCGGUAAAAGUGUGUUUCUAACCUGGGUAUUAGCGAUUACCAGCGACUGAUUAAGGCCAUUGGAAAAACAUAUUUUCAACAGUAUAGCACUUGUUUCAACUGCAUUCAGCAGUUAUAAAAAGUUAUUUUUCUUGUAGUAUAUUUAUACCGCACAUUUUGACUACCACUAAUUUAAGUUGCCUGAUGAACAUAUUUACCACACAUAAAAACUAAAAUAUCUGAGAUAUUUCUUUAGAUAUUUCUAUAGAUAUUUUAACAUUUUAGAUUACAAUAUUUUUCAACACUUGAUUUAAUCACCAAUCGUUGACUAUGAUGACGACAAAAAAUCUAUUUCAUUGUGCUAACCUCACAAGUGAAAAGGACUCCACAAGAGUACAAAACAGAGCCUUGAUCUAAUAAUAUUACCGAAUAUAGCAUUUUGUUUCCUUAUAAAUGGAGAGAGGUUCUGUCUUUGCACUGCAUAACAGAUAUUAAUGGCUUUACUUAUCGUCAUCAACUUCCUUAUGUGUCUCUCAAUCUUCGUCAUCUUCUUUGUUUUGACAUCAAUUUUGUUGGCCUCACCCUUGGCUGAAAGCUUUUUCUGUCAUGUAGAACGGUGAAAAUUAUUUGAUUAAUUGUGGCUCGUAGGUAAGAAUAAUUAUUGUUUUUUGUGUUCAUGUUUUUAAUUUAUUGGAUUUUAAUUCACAAUUUAUUUUAUAACAACUGAAAGAGAUUUUAUUUAGGAUAGAUUCAUUUUCUUGUUUAGUAUAUAGGAAUUUCUACUUUAAUUUAAUUGUAUCGUAAUUUUUUUUUUAUAUAUAUUGUUAUGCGGUGAAUCAAGAGACCUAGGAAGAAAAAAUUAUGGUAUUCAACUUUCAUAAGGAUUCAAUUGCUCAGUCCAUAUUAAUUCUAUCUUUUAUCAACACCAAAAUAUCAUUGCAAGAGUGCCGUGUAGCUUUUGGUGUAUUAUUUUUUAUUUAAGUAUUUGUCAAAGAUUCAAUGACUAAUACAUAUUUAUUUUAUCUUUUAGCAAUAUUAAGUCAUUGUAGUAGUAUUGUGCAAUAGGGAUGACAAAACCCCGGGCCGGGUCCGGGUAUUGCAAUGACCGGACCCUACCCGGAUGCAACCGGUCCGGGUCCAGGUCUGGGCCGGGUUUUAAUCCGAGUACCCGAAUUUUAUAUUUUUUAAUAUUAUAUGUGUAUAUAUUUUUUAUUUUUUGGUAAUUUUAUAAGUUUUAAAUUUAUUUCAAUAAAAUUUGACAUGAAAAUAUAAACUUUAAGUGUUUAAAACUUUAUAUAUGUAUAAUAAAUUAGUCAAAUAAAUAUAAAUAUUUAAAAUAAUAUAUAUUUUAUAAUAUUUUUGUAAUAAAAUCCGGGUUCUGGGUUUAUCAAGUGAUGUCCAAGACCGACCCGGCUUCAUACCCGGCCCAUAACGCCCGGGUACGGUUCGGGUCCAGACCGGGCGGGUAUUUUUGCCACCUCUAUCUUACAUCUUUAAGUCAUUGUAGUAGUGUGGUGUAGGAUUUGUAUUUUGUUUAAGUUGCACAUGUAUUUGUUGAAAUUAUUUAUAAAAGAAUAUUAUUCCACUAAUCCAUUGAUUUUUCUUUUUUCUAUGGGGCAAUUAAUAAAAUCAAUUUGGGCCAUAUAUUUGUCAAUUAAUUCAUUGAUCAUUUUCCUAGGGGUCCAGCUACCUUGCGUCAUGGGUUUGGUACCGCAGUUGUUUGUCUCUUAGCGAAUGACCCUUUAGAUUGUACUGAAUGCAUUCUGCACUAUGGUCCAAUAAUUCUCUUUCAAAUACACUUAGGUCCCCAAAUCAAUAGCUCAAUUCUUCACAUUCAAUUUAAAGCUUUUUUUAACUUCAUUAUCAUUUAUUUAUCAAACAUCACAUACCUGAUGCAGAUCCACCAGGUGUUGAGUUUCUACCAGCAUUCACUCUUGAGCUUGAUGUUGUUUCCAAGUUCUUGCAACGCUUCUGCUUGGCACAGAGAAGUAAAUUUUGUAAGUAAGUACACUCAAUCAAAUACUUCAUACUUAACAUUGAUUGCAUAUAUUAAAAAAAAUGUUAGAUGAUUAGUAAUUAACAUUUAAUUAUAGUUGAAAUAUUGUUUAUUAAAUUAGUCUAAUUGUCUAAGAACGGUCAUACAAUUAAUUUCAACAUAUAAAAAAACUAUUGCAAUAAUUUAUUUAUAUUUUGAAACAUAGCUCAACUAUGAAUUAUUAAAACUAAUAUAGCUUCACAGUUUUUGCAUCAAUAUCUCUUUUCAUCUUUCGCUUAUCUUAUCAAUUUAAAUUUAAAAUCUAUGUUAAAGAUGUUCUGUCAAUCAAUUUAGGCUAGAGAUUAAUUAAACAAUCUAGUAAGCACAUAAUAGGUAUUAUUAUUAAUUGUUCAAUUAUAAUAAACUUUCAAAUUGCAUUAAUGUGAUAAGAAGUUAUAUUUUGCAAUUAAUCGAAUCAUAUGCUAAUAAUUUGCAAUAUUUAUCAGUAUGAAAUAACUAACUUAGAAUAAAUUAAUUAAUUGAUUGAUUUUUUCUUAAAUUUGAAUAUCUUGUAUUAUCUCUAGUAACUGUUUGGUCCACUUAAUUACUAAAAUCCCACCUAACUAAAGUUUUUUGUGCAAAUGUAUAUUUACCGUAACCCACGUUCUCCAUGCUCUCUAACAAAUCUCUCAAUUAGCCACCGAAUCAUAUCCAUUAAUAGAAUAAAAAUAAAAGCCACCGAUAUUAAGCACAAUGGAUGAAUUCAUCUCUACUUCUUUUGUAUAUUCUCUCUAAAGCUUCAAACUCUAUUUUAGGGUUAUUUUCUUAAUUCUUUUGAAUCAAGCUAUAUAGAAUCUGGGGAGAUGUUUUCAAAUAUUUAUUGAAACGACCCGCCCCGAAUCAACCCAGACGAGUUUAUCUAGUCUCAUCAAAACGGACUUGAUAAUAAUUUUAUUCGUAAAGAUUCUGCCGAAAAUUCGGCAGAGUCUCCUUUAUAUAUAUAACACUCCCAAUCUACAAAUAUGAAUAUAACACUCUCAAUACAAGUCAAUAUACAACAAACUCUAGUGCUCAACAUCCUCAACCAAAAUGCUGAGUUUUAUAUCUCCAGAGUCUCAAAAGAUAAUAUUAUAACUAAUAUUAAUAUCUCAAUUUAUUCUUAAUCCCAAAAAGAAUAAUAUAACAAAAGUAUACAAUCCCAAAAGAACAAGAUGACCAAGAUAUCCUAACAAAAACAUUUAUAUCUUCUAACACCAUCACGUGACCAAGACUCAAAAUAUAUUUACAGUCGCUGGGUCGGUCUGGUGUACCUGCAACCUCCUGGUGAGGGGGGAAAAAUAUAAUAAAAACGGGAUGAGUCUAAAACUCAGUGAGAUCAGUGAGUGGAUAGUAGUUUUGAAAAUUAAUUCUUACUUUAAAAGAAAUAAUCAUAUCAUUUCCAAACAUGAUUGCACUAAACCAUAAGCGAGAAACCAGAAAUAAAUAAUUAAACAUUUAAAUCAGAUUACUAACCAUGGAAAUCAUAUCACAAUAUCAUAUAGAAUUCACAAAUCUGAAAAUCAUCACCAAACAAGUACCCAGGGAAAUAAUCUCGUCAUAUCCGGACCUCAACGGACGAGCAAUGACGUACUAUCUGGGUAACGUCACGCCCCGGAGCUACACGGAUAGACAGGGAAAUACCAUCUCAUAUCUCAUCAUAUCCGUGCAUGCAUAAUCUAGUCCCCAAAUGACAAAAACACCCAAGCACAUGGCCCAAAGCCUAUGUGUGUACUCAGACGGGCCCCAAAGGCCUGUAUCUCAUCUGUAUCAUUUGUAUCUCAAUAUCUGUUUGUAUCUUAUAUCUGUAUCUCUGUAAUCAUCAUACCGCAUGCAUAUGCCCCCAAAAGGCAAAAACGCCCAAACACAUGGCCCAAAGCCUCUAUGUGUGUUCAGACGGGCCCCAAAGGCCUCUCAUCUCAUAUCACCUGUAUUACUGUAUCUGGAGGAGAAGGAUACUGUCUAAUGAUUUCAAAAACAAUCAUUAUACUCAUAUUCACAUACCUUUUAAUCAUACUUUAAAUCAUACCACAUUCAAAUCCACUUUUCUUAUCUUUAAAAUAUUAUCAUGCUUUAUUCAAAGUCGAUACGCAAAAUCAAUAACCAAACAUUUUAAUAAAAUACCAAUGCGUGAAUAAAAAUCCAUUUCGAGGAAAUCAUUAAAUCAGAACAUUUAAAAUACUUAUUUCACAAACAUGCAUUACUAUCAUAAUUAACUAUGAAAAUAGGUUUUGUAUAUUCCACUCACAGUGACGGUGUUCACGGUCGGUUAUCGUCCACGUCCGCGGACCGGUUCUCGCUCGCGGAUCCUCCUAAAUCAAGGAAACGACAUAAUUAUUUUCCGUAAAUCGGAAUUACGGCUAAAUUUAUGCAAUAAACUCGAAACGAACAUCUAUCCAUAAUUGACAACUCCCGUGUCCAUAAAAUUACUAAAAUGCCCUUGAGUCCGUAAAUCAUUAACACAUACUCUGAAAUUGUACAACACCGAAUUACCCUCGGAAUCGUAAUUACACCCACUCCUCAAUUCUAGGAAUUACUAAAAUAUCCACAGGCUCAGAAAUUACAAAAUUGCUCUCAUAGUGUGAAAUUACCAAAAUGCCCUUGCCGGUCAACGGUCACAGGAAUUUGGUCAACGCUGGUUAGGAAGCUCAAAUCUGAAAGUUCAAAUCACGCUGAGUUCAAUGGUACCGGCGGUGAGCUCCAUGCGCGGCAACGGCGCCGGAAUCGAGCUCGACAGCCGUGAAUUCCAACAAUCGACCGGCGGCAAAAUAGUGACUCUCGGUGCCUAUGGAUGGUCGGAAAUGGAAGAGGGAGUCGUGGGGAACAAGAUCCAACCGGUGGUGUCACCCAAAACCGGCGAAAAUCCCGGCGGAGUAAAGUGAAACAAUCGCGGGUUCAAGCUUCAAUUGCCGGCGUUCCGGUUGGUUUUCGGCGGCGAGGAUGGCACGGGAACGACGGUCGGCUUCUAAGCUUCAGAUUGGUACCAAGCUCGGCUGAAACGGUGGCCGGAAAUGGGAGAUAUGGUCGGGUCAAGGUCGCCGGUUCCGGGUCGAGUUUUCGGGUCCGUAGUUGGAUCGGUUUGGCAGUUUCCCUUCACUCUCUCUCACACGUGCAUGUUUUUACCCUGUUUCCAGCUUAUUCUUUUACUUAUAAACUCCUUAACCGCCUCAUUUUCAUUUUGAAAUUCACAUAUGUUACAUUUAUUACCUUUUGUCCUUCACCUUUAAUUUCUUAAGUUUGACAUCAGUUUUGUUGGCCUCACCCUUGGCUGAAAGCUUUUUCCGUCACGUAGAUCGGUGAAAAUGAUUUGAUUAAUUGUGGCUCGUAGGUAAGAAUAAUUGAUGGUUGUCGAAGUCAGUAAAAAUAAAUACUUACUCUAAAUAAAUUGUGUAUAGUGAUUGAGCAGGGUCGUGUCCACAGAGAUCGGUAAUAUUUAAAUCUUUUUUAAAAUGUAAAUUGCAAAAUGGGGGGAUUGUUGAUAAUAAUAAAAAUCAAAUUAAAAUUGGGAAAAGCUUUAGUUGAAGGAAUUAACUCAGCUUGAUUCGACUACUGAUCAUUAAUUCAAAUAUAAAUCAUUACUACUUAUGAAUAGACCGGUUAUAGCUACUGAGACCCUCUAAUAGCUAAUCUCUCAUUAACUAGUCGAUAACCAAGGUACGACCAUUGGUUAUUUCCCUAAUCAAUAGAUAACCCUAGAUACGAUCAUAAAAUUUAAUCAAUUGACAGCCUGAAAAAUCAGAGAGACCCAAAUCCUAAUCAACAAACGCAUACGAUGGUUCAUUUAAAUUAGAUUGUUUAUUCUCAUAACACAACGCACUACUAUGCUAUUUGUCACAAAUAUUAAAAUCUUCAUACGAUGAAUCCUUUAAUUGACAAUAGAUUAAGUUGAUAAUUAAAUAGUGGCCAAUUAUCUAAUUAACAAACAUAAUCAUGACAAUAAUUUAGAGAAUAAACAAAUACCCAAAAAGUAAUAAAAUAAUUAAAGCAUAAGAAAGAUCUCACAGUAAUGAUGAAUCAAAGCUUCAUUAAUCUUCAACCAGAAUAAUAGGUUUAGUUAUUCACAGAGAAAAGAGAAAAAUUUAGAUCUAGGGUUUUUUUUUUACAAUAGAUUCCCCCCUUUAAUUCUCUCUCCCCUCUUCUCCUCUAGAGUUCUUUUUAAAAUAAAAUACUAAUAUCUAUUAUCUAAAUAUUAAAUUCGGAAUUACAAAAAUAACCAAAAAGAUAAAACACGUUAAACUAAUAACUGCAGAUCCGUAGUUGACAAUACGCGUCCACGCCUUAUCAACAAAGUUCUUCUGAAGCUCAUAAUUUCUCCAGGAAAACAAUCAUCCUAAAAAAUCAUCUUGUAGCUCAACUUUAUUACCAAUCAAUAGAAUUACACCUACAGAAAUAAAACACAAGUAAAUCACUAUUAUUAAGUGCAAAACAUCGAUAUUAAAGAAAGUAAACAAUGCAAAACUAGAGCAUAAAUUGCACUCUAACAAUAAUUAUUGUUUUUUUGUGUUCAUGUUUUUAAUUUAUUGGAUUUAGUUCACAAUUUAUUUUACAACAACUGAAAUAGAUGUUAAUUAGGAUAGAUUCAUUUUCUUGUUUAGUAUAUAGAAUUUUCUACUUUAAUUUAAUUGUAUCUUAAUUUUUUUUUUUGUUUAUAUAUUGUUAUGCAGUGAAUCAAGAGACCUAGGAAGAAAAAAUUAUGGUAUUCAACUUUCAUAAGGAUUCAAUUGCUCAGUCCACAUUAAUUCUAUCUUUUGUCAACACCAAAAUAUCAUUGGAAAGAGUGCCGCGUAGCUUUUGGUGUAUUAUCUUUUAUUUAAUUUUUUGUCAAGGAUUCAAUGACUAAUACAUAUUUAUUUUAUCUUUUAGCAACAUUAAGUCAUUGUAGUAGCAUCAUGCGGCUUUAAGUCAUUGUAGUAGUGUCGUGUAGGAUUUGUAUUUUGUUUAAGUUGCACAUGUGUUUGUUGAAAUUAUUUAUAAAAGAAUAUUAUUCCACUAAUCCAUUGAUUUUUCUUUUUUCCAUGGGGCAAUUAAUAAAAUCAAUUUGGGCCAUAUAUUUGUCAAUUAAUUCACUGAUCAUUUUCCUAGAGGGGAUUAAUAAAAUGAUAAUUUUAACGAUGAAGUAGAAUAAAAUGAGUUUCAAUAAUCAUUUUCUUCGAAAUACUAAAAUUUAAUUAGAAAUAUAAAUUUUUUCAAACUAAAAUAACAUAUUUUCAAUUGCAUAACCAAUUAGAACUAAUAUUUUUCCGAUUUUUUUUCAUCUGUUUUUACCCCUAGAAAAUAGUGUAUUUUUAAGAGUAAUCAGUUAGUUGAAAUUGAUAUUGCAAAUACAACCGCAAUCGAGAAUUCUCUCCUUUACUACUUAAACUAGAAAAUAGAACCGCGUUUCACGCGGCUUUGAAAAAAUUUAGUAUUAUCUUUUUUUCUUACUUUACACUUGAUGAAAUUGAUAAAAAAUAUGAAUUGAUUUUUUUUUUAAGAUGAGGCGGCCUUAUAAAAAAUAAAAAAAGAUAUUAGCCAGCAAUACAAAUAAAGAAGCAACGCAAGAUAAAGAAUAAAAUGAGAUAAUAUAUUAUAGAGUGAUUUUAUUCAUUCUAAUUGUGUGUGUACAAAAUAAAAAGAUGAGCUCUCCUUUUUAUAGUUACAUAAUCACUCCAUGAAAUUAAUGAAAAAUUAUGGAUCAUAAUUCAUUGUGAGAUAGUGGGAGUUAUAGGGAAGCUAAAGGUUGCUAAUGGGAGAUAGUGGGGAGACUAAGAGAUAUAUGUUAUGAACAUCUACAUUUAUUUUAAUAAAUUCAUAACACUCCCCCUUGGAUGUUCAUUACAAAGAAUAUGCCUCAUUAAAAUCUUUACAUAAUUGUUAUUGUGUAAUAACAAUCAAAUUAAUUAUGAAAAGAUGAAAAGCCAAAUCUAAAAGAAAAUUUAUCUAUUUAUUAGAUAAUAGAGAAUAUACAAAGAUGAGAAAUUGUGAUGCCACAUCACCUCCUCAAAUCCCAACUUUAUAUAUAUAUAUAGAUUGGUCAUGAAUAUGAGUCCUCAGUCACAUGUCCAUAUUAAUUUUGAGAAAUUUAUAAAAAUGACCAUAGAACUUUUACGUUUUUCAACUUUAACCCCCCAAAAUUUUUUCUAUCAUAACUAGCCAAAUAUCUUAUUUUUGGACUAGAUUACCCUCAUCACUUUCAUCAAAUUCACAAAGGUAUGCCACUUUUUCAAUUCCAGCACCACUAAAUACGAAUCUUCCUCAACAACUUAACAAACCUUCAUCACUCUCAACAAACUUCAUCACUCUCAAUAAAUCAACAAAUUCCAUCAAACAAACAUUGCAUAAUUGAAGAUACAAUCAUCAAUUGGAGAGCUUCUUAAAAUUAGUUUAUGCUCUUACACAAUGUAAACCUUUAAUCUAUUGAUUUUAUCAACUAAGUUCGAAAUUAAAGUGGGUUUUGUUGCAAAUGUUGUUAUUUUUCAUUCAUAAAACAAUGUGAUUUGUUAAAGUACUUAGUUUGAGUUGAGAAAUGAAGAAAAAUCAUUAAAAAUACAGAAAAAUCGGGCAAAAAAUGAAGUCCAAAACAAGUGAGACAAGCAGUGAGACAUGUGUCUGUCUCACAUAAACCCACUGAUUUUAUGGAAUAUAUGAUUUUGGAUUUGAUUUGUCUCGUCGUAAGCUUCGAAACGGUAUAAUUAUUACAAUAUUUUGGCUCACUACUCCGAACCCCAAUACACAUAAUCUCUCAAAUCACUAGAACAAGAGCUUUUAUUAUUUAAGCUCUACAAAACUCUCUGCUCUACAGGAAAUGCUUCUCACAAAAUUGGAUGCAGAAAUGAGGAGGAGGAACCUCUUUUUAUACCAAAACUUGGCUACUGUUCAUGCUUUAUUUAAUUAUUAUUUUUUUUCUUCUUCCUUUUCGGUCCGGCAUUCAUUUUUUCUUCCUCUUUUGUCUUCUUUCUUCUUUUCUUUUGUUCCGGUCAAAGAAGCAACCAAUGCAUUCUUCUUCAAAAUCAGUGGGCCCACCUUCUAGAAGGGUGGUGCCCACAUGCCAUUUUCAUCAUUAAAUAGAUGAGGGUUGGAAUAGAAUCUUUUCAAUGUGAAUCAUGAAGGAUCUAUUCAAAAUAAAAGUGAUAAAGAUUAAGAAAGAACUUAAGAAGCUAAGAGCUUUUAGAAGUCUUUGAAGAAAUAAUAUUAAUUUGAAAGGAAAAGAAUUUAAAAUGAAGAAGAAAAAGAUAAUUGAUAAGAAGUAAGACUAACUGUACAUCUGAUUGAGGAACAGGCUUGUUAAUUCAAACUAUUAUAACCAAUUGGGAAUUGAAUUAAGUUAACAGUUAACUCGUAAUUGAAUGUCUAAACUAACAAUGUAUACAAUUACAGAUGAGACUAUAAAAUUGCAAAAAUACUGCUGAUUGUGAAUCAAUUUGAACAUGCCAAUCCUUAGGAAUUCCUUUCAGUAUCAUGGGAUUUAGAUCUCAAUUACCUUUUUUAUUUGAGUACGAUGACAUCCCGAACUAUCAAAAAUACCCACUUGUCCAAACGUGCCUAUGUCCACUUUAUCAUUUAUAUAUGAAAUGUUCUAAUUAAAUGGAGCAAGUCCACAUAAUACAAUCAUUUUCAAUUACCCAGCAUUUGGAAUACAGAUGCUUUGUUUCUUCGUUUUUUUUAUUUUUUGUUCUUUUUUAUUUACUUGAUACAACUAAUAAGUAAACUCAUAGCAUUUUCUAUCACCUCUUUUUUUUUUGGGAGUAUUAGUAAAUCAACUCUGUAAUGCUCUGCCUCUUUACCAUAAAAGCUGCAUUUUAAUGGCAUCAGCUUACAGUUAUGUGUACUAAGUAAAACAAUUCUUUAUUGUGACAUUUUCAUCCUCCAGAAAAUACAUAAAUAAAAUAAAGGAAAUUUUAUUUUUGUUAAAAUCCAUGAAUAUUAAUUACUACCUUGUUCACUGUUCAGUAAAAAUAAAACAACAGUUUUUUUUUUUUUUAAUUUAACAAUAUUGUGUUAGAAUAUACUUCCCAGGUAAGGUUGAUAGAAAAAACCAAAUUUCAAUCAGUAUUGGGAUUCUGUCCCAAAACAAGCACUUACUUAUUACAACUUUUACUAACUUAUUUUUCCACCACACAAUUUACUCAAUUUUUAUUUAUACCACACAAUUUAACUUAUUUUAACUACCACUAACUUAAGUUACUUGGCUAGGGUAAAAUUAUGUUGCAACUGUGGUAUGAUACCACAAUUACAAUCAAUCAUUAAAUUUACAGUUGUACAAUUGUAUUUAUUGGACCUAAUGAUUAAAAGUAACUGUGGUAUCUUGCAACAUAAUUGGACCUACUUUGCUAACAUAUUAUAGAAACCAACAUCCCAGAUUUUUCUUAAGAUAUUUCUACAGAUAUUUUAACAUUUUAGAUUAUAAAUUACUUUUCAACACUUAAUUUAAUCACUGAUUGUUGACGACGACGAAGCCAACAAAUUUGUUUCGUUGUGCUAAUCGGACAAGCGAUAAGGACUUCACAAGAGUACAAAACAGAGCCUCGAUCUAAUAAUAUUACUGAACAUAGCAUUUUUGUUUCCUUAUUAAUGGAUUUGUUUCCUUAUUAAUGGAGAGAAGCAGUUCUGUUUUUGCAGUGAUUAAGCGCAUAGAAGAUAUUAAUGGCUUUACUUAUCAUCAUCAACUUCCUUUUGUGUCUCCCCUUCUUCCUCUUCUUCUUUGCUUUGCAAAGGCUCAUAACCUCAAGAAAUAAUACUAAAUUACCACCCGGCCCCUGGGGCCUUCCCUUAAUCGGUAACUUACACCAGUUUGAUGUCUCAAAGCCUCAAGUGUCAUUUUGGGAGCUGUCACGGAAAUAUGGCCCCCUCAUGUCCUUGCGUCUUGGUUUUGUGCCAUCCCUAGUAGUUUCCUCAGCAAAACUGGCUAAAGAGAUAUUAAAAACCCAUGACCUUCAAUUUUGUAGCAGGCCAGCCUUGGUAGGACAACAAAAGUUAUCUUACAAUGGUCUUGAUUUGGCGUUUUCACCCUAUGAUGGUUAUUGGAGAGAGAUAAGAAAAAUUUGUGUCAUUCAUCUCUUUAACUCUAACAGGGUAGAAAAUUUUCGACCCAUUAGAGAAGAUGAAGUUUCAAGAAUGAUUGAAAAGAUUUCAAAAUCAGUUGCUGCUUCUAAUCCCGUAAACUUAAGCGAGGUAAUGAUGUCUCUUACCAGCACCAUUAUUUGUAGAAUUGGAUUUGGCAAGAGGUAUGAUGACGAUAAAGCAACAAGUGCAAGAAGUAGAUUCCAUGCCCUGCUUAAUGAAACUCAAGCCUUGUUUGUAAGCUUUUUUGUUACAGAUUAUUUUCCUUUCAUGGGCUGGAUUGAUAAGCUCACAGGAAUGAUGCAACGCCUGCAAAAUAACUUCCAAGAACUCGAUAGAUUCUACCAGGAACUCAUCGACGAGCAUUUGGAUCCAAACAGAACAAAAUCAGAAUUGGCGCAACAGGAGGAUAUAAUUGAUGUUUUACUUCAAAUACGAAAAGAUCGUGGAUUUAAAGUUGACUUGACUUUGGACCACAUCAAAGCGGUGCUCAUGGUGAAUAAUUUUAUAAAUAGUUAUAUGUAGACUCGUGCUCAGGCGCAGACUUAAAAUUUUGUGCAGAUACCCAAUUUUACAGUCUUGUAAAAUGGUUUAUAAUGCUGUAAAGUGCCUUUGAUGUCCGCCUGAACAUGAUUAAUUUAAUGUAAUUUUAUUUGCUUUUAACUAAUUUACUAUGUAUGUAUGUAUGUUGUUUGUUUUGCAGAACGUACUCGUUGCUGGAACAGACACGAGUGCAGCAACUGUGGUUUGGGCCAUGACUUACCUAAUGAAGAAUCCUAGAGCAAUGAAAAAAGUUCAACUGGAAAUCAGAUCGUUGAUUGGGUGCAACAAAGGCUUUGUAAAUGAAGAUGAUGUUCAAGAACUGCAUUAUCUUAAAGCGGUAGUGAAGGAGACAAUGAGAUUGCAACCCACAGUACCAUUACUAAUCCCAAGAGAAACAAUUCAAAAGUGCGUAAUAGAUGGGUAUGAAAUACCAGCUAAAACACUUGUCUUUGUAAAUGCAUGGGCGAUAGGAAGAGACCCUGAAGCUUGGGAGAAUCCGGAGGAAUUUUAUCCGGAGAGAUUCGUUGAUAGCUGUAUUGACUUUAAAGGGCAACACUUUGAAUUAAUACCGUUUGGUGCUGGCAGAAGAAUUUGUCCUGGGUUGAAUAUGGGAAUCGCAACUGUGGAUCUCGCACUUGCUAAUCUUCUUUACAAAUUUGAUUGGGAAAUGCCGCCUGGAAUGAAGAGCCAAGACUUGGACUUUGAUGUUCUGCCGGGAAUUACUAUGCAUAAGAAGAAUGCUCUCUCUCUUUCGGCUAAGUAUCAUGAGUAGGUAAAUUAAGGCACCUCGGACAAUAAGAGUUUGAUCUGAACUAAAUAUAUGUUAUAGAGAUUGCAUGUAUGUCCUGAAUUGUGCUUCUCAUGUUUCCUUUCUUUCUUCUUAUGUAUAAUGAAUGUUGAUGUCUAAGUGCCCAUAGGCUGAGUGGUUUUUAAUAAUUAAAUUUCUUUUAGUUCAAAAUUUUGGGAGGUAAGGACUAGAGAAUAAUAGUUACUCUGCUCACUCUCCUAUACUAAAAAAAAAAGGUUGAUAUGAAUGUGAAUAUUAAUCUAGUACGUUCAUUUCAUCUCAUAUUUUUUCUCCUAUAUUUUUUUCUUUAAAUUUAACUUCUAUCACUUAACCUGCUAUCUUUUUAUAUGAUUGGAUAGAGAUUGAAAUUUUUGCUGUUCCAUCUCAAUGUUAAUGCUUAUAUUAUCUUCACACCUUUACUGUAAUUUUUUACUUUUACUAUUAGAUGCUGAUAGGGUCUUUUCUUGGAGAUUGCUUCACAAAAAAAAUUCUGAAAGAAGAUUUUGUUGAUCGGAUAGCAAGCUUAUCCAUAUAGUUUAAUGGAUUAUCUGCAAGAGCUCUUUUUAGUGCGCAUACAGUUGUCCCUUCAUGUUAGCAUAUUCAUUCUGUCGUCAAUGAACUUUUGCAUUUAAAUGGUAUCAGUUCAAGUGAUGAAUGAAUUUUACCUAUUGCCUAUCUUGGACUAAAUUUAAUUUCAAAAAAUGAGCUUCCAGCUUAUGACUUAUACGUAUCUUGCACUUUGGUUUUACGAUCACCAUUGGAUGGAAGAGUGGCUCGAGUUUGUUAAUUGCUUCAGUCCCAGGACUAGUGUUUGGAAACAUAAAAUUUCUCAGUUCAGCAGCUAUAAAUCUGUUUCAUGAUUGUUAUUGCACACUAUUUCCUAUAUUUUUGUCUCCAUGCUCAUACUGAAUUAGUGGUGCAUUUGUCAUCUUUCGCCUCUCAUUAAAAUGUGCUUAUUAUUUUUUAUUUCAAUCGUAGGAUGGGAAGAUUGAUACUGAUUCCAUCUACAAUGGGUUUAAAGACAACGUGAGGUUAAUGUGGGAGCGUUUCUUGUCAUCCCAGCAAAUGUUGACAUAAACAACAGACUGCAAGCUUCCCCUACUCUCUGUUCAUAUUUGCAUUUGUGUGCAUCUUGUACUUGUUGUUGCAGAAAGAUGAAUAUGUAAGAAUAAGAUCGUGUUUGUAUGCAAUGGUCAAAUGUUUUUGCAAAAAAUGUCGUUGCUUGAGUUCCUCAAUUCUCAUUCUGAACUUCAAAUUUUGUACAUUUCUUUAACUUAAUUUUUUUUUUUUCUGUGUAAUAGUAGUAUAAGUUUGGUAUCAAAAUUAAGCUAGUGACAUACUUGGAUCACUUGGGAUCCACUUGCAAAUGUAUUUUGAAGAAAAGUUUUCUCCCCGCCUUUUAUGUAAUCACACCCACCAGUAAUAUGGUAAUUUAUUGAAAGGUCCUUGAUGCCCGGUAAAAGUUAUAAUUAAAUUAAUAAACUUAUCUUUUUAAAUUAAUAAACUCAUCUUUUUGAAUAAGUUCAUCAUUUUGUACGUAUAUUAGUUUUUUUUUUUUAAAUUCCUUUUAUUUCUAAACUAUUGGUUGGAAGCAAAUAUUUCACUGUAAUCUCCUGUCGACCAAAGGAGAUGCCUUUCCCAAAGCAAGAAAAGAAAACACAAAAAGCCCACUUCAAAAACUUGUGCAAGAAGGAGAUGUGAUUACGCUGUCUUUCUGUUUCUUGGUGCGUGUAUAGAUAUAUACAUACACACAUAAGUCUGAGGACCAGCUGGCCAACAGCCCACUAGGAAGCAAUUUUAAAAUUUUUGGUCAGUAUUGUUCUUUAUAUCUUAUGAAUUUUUCCUUCAAUUAUUAUAUUUUCACUCAGUUUUGUUUUUGGGCACGCGUUAUGUGAUUUUCUUUUGAUGAUUUCCGUGGCUUCUUUUUAGCUCUUAUUUUACUGUUUCUACUGGUUAGUUUAGCUACUGUCUACUGAGAUAAAAUUAUUUGCUUGAAUAACUUAAUCUUUUGCUAUUUUAUUACGUUCAGUUUAUAUACAGUUGAUUCAUUGUAACAAAUGUUAUCAUAAAUGAUUCUUGAGUAAUUUCAUUUAUUUACUUUUUCUUCUUUCAUAGUUGGCCUGUACGGUAUCAUUUACUUUUAUCUUUUUUCAAAUUUCUUUUAAUCUACAGAAUGUUUGUUUUAGUCCUGAUCUUGGGUUACUGAAAUGUUUCAUUCCCUUUUCCUAAGUAUUUUUGUUGCUUGUUUAUCGGGCAAUACUGCAACAGUGAUUUUAAUUCACAAAAUUCUGUAAAUACUUAUUAUUCUUAGUGUGGUUUUAAGGUAGAGUGAAGUUAAUAUUAUCAUAAUGGCUUACAUUCCUCCACAUAUGAGGCAUACGAAGGACCCCCAGAGGCCAUCUCCAGUUCCAGAGAUGAUUGUGCCUAAAUUCAACAGAAAAUUAAACUUGGGAUCAUCCAAGCAUAAUGCAGACAUAAGUGGAAAGAUCGUGUAUGCAGAUCCUGCCAUACACAGGUGGUUCAUUUGUGGCUUGGAUAAUGAUAGCAGCAGUCCUUCUGUCCGCUUUGUGGAGUUUUCAGACGACCCUGUUGAGCAUAAAAAAUCGACGACCAUUAAUCUGGCUCGAGGUUACUGAUCUGCAUUUGUAAUUUUAUCUUAAAUAUGUUCUACUUUCUUUCUUUAUUUAUAUCUGGUGCUAACUUUAGUUAUAUUGACAUUUGGAUUUUGGGUUGGUAGAUAACGAUAAAUUGUGUGGGAAUACAUCAAGAAGCCCAUGGGAAUCGAUAGCAGAAAAUGUAUGGCCAGAUGUAUUGAGUGCUUGUAAUAUUGUCAAGAACGAAAUGGAGGAAAAGCCAACAAUGGUUGCUAGAUUUGGCCAUCAUCUUUUCCGUGAGUAUGUGAUCUGGUUCCAUUGCUGUAACAGCUUGAAUUUUUUAUUAGGUCAUUCCUUUUCUUUGGACUUUGAAAUUAAAGCAGCAAAAAUGCAUAUUCAUACUUAAUUCUGACAGAAAUCUUAUGGUCAUAUAAGUGGUGGCAGCUAAAAUUAUGAGCUUUACCAUUAACCCUACCACCAGCUGUGGAUGACUGUAAAUCGGAUCUCUAAACCAGGGACAAAAGUUAAAAUUGCUUUUAAAAGCCAAAGAGGAAAAUGGCAAUUUAUAGUGCAUGCACUUCUUUCAGACUUGUAUCUCAUAGAAGCUUUCAUGGCAUCUGGAAUUUGGCUUUGGCUUUGCGUAGGACAUUUCAAUUGUUGCUGGUGGAAACAAAUAUAUCCAUUGUCUUAGUUUUGCUUGAUUUCCGGUGCAAGAAACAAAUAAAUUUGUUGCCGUGGCCAAGUUUUGUUGUUUGAUAUUUCAUUGGGACAACAAAGUAUACCACUGCUUCGCCUAUUUCUUACAUCUUUGCAUCAUAUAUUUCCAUUCUUCUAUCACAUCUUUGAAGCUUCUACUAGUUCUCAUAUUAGAAGCGCCUCAAAGAAAUAAUUAUUAUAUUAUUCGUCUUAAUGAAGGAGUGACAUACUGAGCUUAGAAAAUGCGAAAGAAGGUCAGGUUGCUGAAUCUGCUUUGAGCCCACUGAGGAGAUGCUUUUACACUGGUGUCCCUCCUACAUACAUGGGAAAAAUUGUAAAUGAAGUUGUGCCAAAAAUUGGGGUUGGUUUUGUAGAGAACAAGGAUAUAUACCAUGUCAAGGUAGUUCUCCUGCAGUCCUGCUAAAUACUUUAGUAGUCAUGACCAAGUUUCUUUUAUCUCUCAAUUAAUUAGCCAUUGAUUCCCCCCCCCCCUUUCUUUUUCUUGUGUAGUUGUCUGAUGGCACACGACAAAUUACGUGCAAAUGUACUGUUAAAGAAGAUCAAAAGCUUCAUCUCUAUAAGGCAAGUCUUUUGCUACUGGCUGAGUAUUAUUUAUGGACAACGGGUCCAAGUUUAUAAGUUGCCUCUUGUGUUAAGGAGACUUUUGCUAGUGGAAACAUUGAAACAAGACUUAUGAUGUUUUGAUUUGAAUGAUAUAAUCUUUUCACUGUGAAUUAUGAAGGAGAUGUCGAAUAUAAGCGAUAGAUAUCAAGAAAGAGACGAAACCUUUGUGUCUCAAAAGAACCUUUUAGAAGUCUCUCCAGGAAUAAUCUCAGUUAAGAGGAAAAGAAUUUAAAAUGAAAAGAAGGAAGAAAAUUCUCAAGAAGUAAGACUAAUUCUACAUCUAAUUGAGGAACAGGCUUGUUAAUUUAACAAGGAAAGCUCCAGUAGCUAUUUAUUAUAAACCAAUUAAAAAUUGAAUUAAAUUAAUAGUUAACUUGUAAUUGAAUGUCUAAUCCAACAAACUAUGCAUAAGAUUACAGACGUAACUAUGUAAUACAAAAAACCUCUGCUUAUUGUAGACCAAAGUGAAUAUGCCAAUAUUUAGGAAUUUCUUUCAGCAUCAUGGGAUUUAGAUCCCUAUAAUCUUUUUUUAUUUUAGUGUAGUGACGUCCGGAAGACCAGAAUUAUCACGUACCUCGUACUAGUCGUUUUAUUUAUUUUGUCUUUUAAAGCGCCACAUUAUUUCCCAUACAGUCAUAAUAUAUCUAUUUUUUGUUUAUUUAUCGUUGCCGUGUGUGGAGUCUCAUCUUGAAUAUGAACAUUUUUCCGGUAGGUCGAACUGAACUCUGUUCGUCACAUGGUAGCAGACAUGUUAUGCGUUCAUAAAAAUCUAGACCUGAGGUUGGCACUAUGUUCAAAGAGUACCUUAUCUGCUCUCUCGGUAAGUCAAUCUGCUCCUCCGUGCAUGUUUUAGCUGGACUUUUAAGUUACGCCUUCUUUUUUCCCCUUUUUAUUUUAUUUGGUCAUUUGCUUGUUGGAAUCAUCAUCAUUACAGAAUGAUGAAGAAAAAUUCAAGACCAGGGGAAAUAAGGAAAUAUUAAACUUAUAGCUUUUGUUUUAUCAUAGAAAGUUUACUUUCAAGGGGUUGAGAAAAAAUUUAUAUAUAUAUAUAUACACACACACAUACACACACACACACACACACACACGACAAGCUUAAAACGGUUAAACAUUAGCAUGCAUGAUCCUUUUCUUCAAAACUGAAACUUUACAAAUGUUAAAAAUAGAAUAACAAAUAAAUUAUUAGAUUUCCAAAAUCAGUUACCGUUAUGCAGGCUUAAAACAAAAGUUAAAUAUAAGCUCUUUUUUUUUUUUUUGGGGGGGGGGGGGGGGGGGGGGCGUGUGUGCCUAUGAGUAGUCCCAGCAAAUGAAUUCUAUGAUCAAACUGAAAUUUUUGAAUUUUCAGGAUGAUGAAAUGAACAGCAUUAGAAUUCUGAUUAAUUCAGCCAUUCCGGAUCCGGAAGUCAAGGGUGGGUUAAGAUGGCCCAUGGGGAAGUCAUAUUCAGGGGAUUACACAAUUGUUGGGGUUUGGCACAAUGAAUUUAAAUCAUAUAAAAGCCCAUCACUAAAGCUUAAGGUAAGAAAUGUUGAUCGAUUUAUUUUCAAGACUGGAACUGGGGAAGCUACGAUUGAGAUUAAUCUAAAGUUGAGAAGACUAGUUUCAGAGAUUCAGGUACUUGCUGCUUUUUGCUUUAACUUUUAUCACAAAACCUACUAUCUUUGUGCAUGAUUACAUGGAUCUUGAAAUUCUUGCUGUUAUGUCAUAAUGUUAAUGCAUAUUUUGUCUUCACGCAUUUCUUACUGAACUUGUGUCUUGAGCUGUAAUUGUAAUUUCCAAUUUUUACUAUUAGAUGGGUAUUUUAUUGGGGAUUUCUUUACUUAAAAAAAAAAUAUGUUUGACAGAGAAUAUUUUAACGAUGAGAUUGCAAUAUUGUAAUAGAUAAUCUUCAGGAACUCUUUUUACCUUUUAGUAGUUAUGCAGUUGCUCCUCUGUGUUAGCUUAUUUAUUCUAUCAUAUGUAACGAAUGACUUUUUACCAAAUUUGAUUUCAAAGCUGAGCUUCCAGCUUAUGACUAAUAUUUGUGUCUUGCACUUUUGUUUUACAAUCACCAUUAGAUGGAAGAGUGCUUAGAGUUAGUUAAUUGAUUCAAUCCCAGGAUUAGUCUUUUGAAACAUAAAAUUUAUCGGCUAAGCUAUAUAAAUCUGUUUCAUGUUUCUUAUCGCACACUAUUUCGUAUGGCUUUGUCUCCAUGCUCAUACAAAAUUAGUGUUGUAUUAGAUGUCUUCUGUCUUUCAUUCACAUGUACUUAUUACUUUUUCUUUCAAUCGUCAGGAUGGGGAGAUUGAUACUGAUUCCAUCUACAAUGGGUUUAACGACAACUUGAGGUUAAUAUGGGACCAUUUCUUGUCAUGGGAGUCAUAACUUUUGACAAAAACAACAGAUUGCAUGCUCUCCCCGCUCGGUUCAUAUUUGCGUUUGUGUGCAUCCUGCAGUUGAAGAUGUAGAAUGAUGUAAAUGCAAGAAUAAGAGCAUGUUCGUAUCCAAUGGUAAAAUGUUUUUGCUAAAAUGUAUGGACUUGUAACAGCUUGUUGCGUGAGUUUCUCAAUCUCCUGAACCUCAAAUUUUGUCCUAUUUUCACCCCGGCUUUUUCCCCCCGUCCUCUGUAAUAGUUAUAUUUGGUAUAAGUUUGGCAGUUCCUGUGUAAAGUGUUUCAUAUUCAUGUGUGGAAUAAAUAUCAACAUCCAGAUACAAGAAAGUUUGAUUUUAUUUGUAAGACCUGUCUCUCAAAGUUAAUCUAGUGACAUGCUUGAAGCACUUGGGAUCCACUAGUUGGAUGUAUUUUUGUUAAGAUUUAUUUAGCAUUUUGUAUGUGUAUCAGUGCCUUUUUUUUUUGUUGUUAAACCGUUGGUUAGAGGGCAAAUAUUUCACAUUAAAGUGGGGUCUGCUUGCCACCAAGGGAGAUGCCUUUCCCAAAGCAAGAAACGAAAACUCAAAAGCCCACUUCAUAACUUGUGUAAGAAGGAGAUGUAAUUGACAUAUGCUGUCCUUUUUCUUGGUGCGUGUAUGUGUGUGUAUACACACUUAAUUCCGAAGAUCAACUGAGCCAACAGCCAAAACUUGAAAGCAAUUUUAAAAUUUUCGGUUAGUAUUGUACUUUAUAUCUUUUGAAUUUCUCUUUAAUUUAUUAUAUUUUCACUUUAGUUUUGUUUCUGGGUACUCUUUAUGGGCCACAAUUAUGGUACCACUGUGGUACCAUACCACAGCUGGAUCCAGCCAUUGGAUCCGGCCUACAGUGGUCCCCAUAGCUGGAUCCAAUGGCUGGAUCCAGCUGUGGUAUGGUACCACAGUGGUACCAUAGCCGGACCCCUCUUUAUGUGCUUUUCUUCGAUGAUUUUGGUGAGCUCAUAUUUUACUGUUUCCACUGGUUAGUUUAGUUAUUGUCUACUAAGAUAAAAUUAUUUGCUUCAAUAACAUAGAGUAUUGAGGUGUUGUAAUUUAAAAUUUUAGAAAAAAAUAUAUUUAUAAAAUAAAAGUUAAUAGUAUGUGGUAAAUAUAAUUUUAAAAUAAUAAUUUUAAUAAAAUUAGUAAAGAUAUAAUAGAUUUUCAUCAUAUAAAAGUAAAAUCAAAUCAACUUAAUUUCUAAACUACAUAAAUUAAUUUUUAUAAAACACUUUAGUGCUGUAACUACCCAACCUCAAUCUAAAGUAUAGCCUUAAUUGUUUGCUAUUUUAUUAUGUGAUUGUAUAUAGAGUUAAUUAAUUGUAUCAAAUGUCAUUAUAAAUGAUGCAUGAGCAAUUUCAUAUUGUUUUUCUUUCCUUCAUUGAUAAUUGGCUUGUCGGAUAUCUUUGAACUUUUUUUUUUCGCCUCAAAGUUCUUUUAGUCUGCAGAAUGUUGGUUUUAGUUUCGAUCUUGGUUACUGCAAUAUUUCAUUCAUUCUUUCUAAGCAUAGUGGGUUCAUUUCACAAAAUUCUGUAAUAAGUACUUAUUGUAGUUUAAGGUAGCGCGAAGUAAUAUUAUCGUAAUGUCUUACAUUCCACCACAUAAGCAGCAGUUUGUAAUCAAGACUGCAGAGAAUCUUGCAGAUAUAUUGACUAAGGUGGUGACGACAAUUAAGUUUGAGCAUUAUCUAAACUUGAUCAAUAUCUUACAAGUUUGAAAAUAGUCAGAGAAGACAGAGACUGGAGGAUGGUUUGUUGAUAGUCGGCUCAGAUUUACUAAAUUUUCGUUAAGGUAGAGAAUUGUUGAAAAAUCAAGCAUGCUUGCAUGAGCUAGCUAGCAUGCAAAUUUCAAGCCCACCAAUGUUCAGCUAGCGUGAUCCAAUUGCAUGUGCUAGCAUGAUCUCUUCGUCAAAAGUCACACCAAAGCCAUUAAAAUUGAAAAUGGCCAAAGUUUUUUUUUCAUGCAUUUAUAUUGUAAGAUUUGCCUAUAAAUAGAGGAGUAGAAUGCAUUUGUAAAGCAUCCCAAUUUGUGAGAAGUAGAGAGCAAUUGCAAGUGAGCUCUUUGAGAGAAUUUGAGAGAGCUUCCACUUGAGUGUUCUAGUUGUUGUGCAAAUUUUAAUGUACUCGCAAGCGCACGAAUCUAUUGUAGUAUAGAUCAAUGGUGACGAGUGUCGAUCCCACGAGGAGGUGGAUUUUAAUUGUGUAUAGAAUUAAUUUUGUAAAUGGGUGGUUGGAUCUGUGGUGGAAAUGAAUUGGAAUAUGCUAAAACUUAAAUUAAAAUGGCGAGAAUAAAUUCUAAAAUUGGAAUUGCAAUGGCGAGAAUAAAUUGAAGAGAAAUGUAUUGAAAUGACGUACUUGGGUAUCUGGAUCCGUAUCAACAUGCAUCAUGGGCUAAAUAAUCCGUAUUAAUGCCAAUUAAAUCAUGAGGGGGGAAUCCACACCUCAUGAACCACGCUCUAAUCAAUAUGGUGCUAAGGGCUUAUCGUGCCAAAUAAUAAUAACCUUAUACUAGAGAGCCGGUGUAACCAAGGCGGUAUCUAGACAAGAUCAGUAUUAUUUGUCGACGAUAAGUCAAAUCAUCCACAAAAACUAGAGGGGAAAAGAAAAUAAAUUUACCAAAUAAAGCCCAUGACACAUGUUGAGACUUCACCUUCAACCCAAGCUUGAAAGGAAAUUAGCUACUCAUAAUUGAACUAGGGGCAAAAUGAAAAUUUAUUAAAAUACGAAGAAAAUACAAGAUGGAGAAGGAAUUACAGAAAAUGGAUCCCAAAAAUGGAUUCAGAGAUAUCAAAUUAGGGGGGGGAGGCCCCUUUUUUAUAGAUACAUGGAGUAAAUCAUGGCCAUCGGAUUAAAAACAGUUUGGACGCUCAGGAUUGCGCCACGUCAUCAGUCAACAGUCCACGGUUUGACCACGCGGAUGAACAGUAACACGGUUUGACCACGCGGAUGAACAGUAACGCGGUUUGGUUGAAAAUAAUCCUGUGUGAUGCAUGCACCGUACGCGAGAUUUUUCGUCCACUGAUAUGCUGCCACGUCACCAUCAACAGUACAUAAGAAUUUUAGUCCAACAGGAUCGUGACACCUCAUCAGUCAAUGCCACAUCAUCGGUCAAUGCCACGUCAUCGAUCCGUCUAUGUGAACAGUGUCGUGAACAGUAACGUAGACAGUACCGUAUACGUGAAUAGUACCGUACAUGUGAAUAGUGCCAUUUUUCUUUUUAUGCCCCUCCUAAGGUUUUCGACCGUCCUGAGUUCAAAAGUGAUGUCCGUUUUGCCAUCUGAUCUCUCCUUUAUUGUGAAAUAACUAUAAUGCCCCUAAAAUACAUAAAAUACUUAAUUAAAAUAAAACACAUGUAAUUAAAUCACAAGAAGGUUAAAUACAUAAAAGUAAGGGUUUUUAAUAAGACUUGAAAUGUAAAAUGACGGUUUUCUCCUUUAUAAAUAUGCAUUUUCUAACACUCAACACACCCCCCAACCAGCUUAUUGCUAGUCCCUAGCAAAUAAAGCGAAAACAAAAUUCAAAUUCAAAAUGAUUUUUUUUUUUUUUUUGAACUACUCGUGUUUAUUCAAUCAGAUUAAUGAUAGCAAUCAAAUAAAAGUAUAAGCAUUAUCUCCAGUCUAAAGCAACAUCACACCCACAUCAACCAUCCACAUGAAUUAGCCCAGUAGACUUUGUUAUAGCUACUUUCAAGAAUGACAUGUCAAACCCCAAAAUCUCACUUGAAGUAGUGACACUCUCACAAAGAAAUUAAAACCCAAUAAACAUAGUCACUCCAAUGAAUGGUAAUUGAGAGAGAAAAUAAUAAAGAAAUGAUAUCACAUGCUCUCACCAAGAUGAAAUAAAUAUGCCCUCAGCUUAGAAAUAAUGCGAUCUCAAGUCAAAUAAAAUGUUAGUCAACCCACUUUAUUUAUCUUUUUUUUUUAUUAUUAUUAUGCAUCACUACAUCUUUUUAGCCCAUAUAACUAGCUUCUACUUCAAACUAUAGUUCCCUAAAAUCAAGAAGGACUUUUAUUAGGACGUAACGUAGGCUAGGGAUAUGGCUAACAAAGAAAGGAAAUAAGGAAAACAAAGUGUAUGUUUGAAAAAAAUGCAGAAUUUUUUUUUUUUUUUUUUUUUUGGAACUUGCAAGGUGGAUUUCACCUAUUAUUGUUAUUUUUAUUCUUUUGAAACAACAACUUUUGUUUUUGUUUUUGUUUUUUUUGUUUUUUUUUUUUGCUUUUAUUUGGCAUAACUUCACUGAACAACAUAAUUAUUUACAUUUUCUCAAACAUAAAUAGGUGAUGGAACUUAAAAGACAUUGGGUAAUACUCCAAAUCGGAGUGGGUCAAGAUGAUAAGUUGACAAAGAAAAGGUUUUUGUUCUUUUUUUUUUUUUUUUUUUUUUUUUUUUUUUUAAGGCUCAAAAGGGGUAACUAUGGAUAUUUAAUAAAAGGGAUGGCUAGAAAGGCUCAAACGGAUCAAAGAUGGCCUUUCUAUCGUCUUUUAGGGCUCUAAAUAAUUAUCCAUAUCUACUAGUUAGAUGGGCCUCCCAAUGUAGCAACACACAUUUUUUUCUUUUUUCUUUUUUUUUUUAAUUUUACCAUAUUUUUUUUUUUUUAAAAGGGUUAACUUAAAAGAAAUCUAGAGAUCGUGUAUAAAAUAAUAAACUGCUAAGCUGUAUAGAGAAUGGGUAAAAGGGUUACUCUCCAAGAAAAUGAUAGGCUCAACUACUCACUUGGCACUUAUUUAUGACAUGUUCAUUCCUUCAAGCAACUCAUAUUUGUCUCCGACAUCAACAUGUAAAGUAGCAAACAUAGCGUAACAUCACUUAAGACCAAAGAUAAUACAAAUACUAAAAUUUGAAAUUAGUCAUGUCAUCCAAUGUUAAAACAAAUAACACAAUUUUUUUUAAACAACAUUCUACCCCCCAACCUAUUCUAAACAUGAAAGGAAAAUAUGCAUGCAGAAAUGUGAAAAUGAUGUAGAAAAAUUAAUUAGAAAAAGAAUUUUUUUUUUUUUUUUUAAACUAAGAAGAUGCGUUUCUAGAGGCACUACACUCCAUAUUCAGCCAUCUUCGACUCAAAAAUUUGAAACUACAUAUUUAUAAAGGAGAAAGAGGAAGAAAACAGGUUUUUUUUUUUUUUUUUUUUAAAACGAUGAAGAUGCGUUUCUAGAGUAACUACACUCCAUAUUCAGCCAUCUUCAACAUAAAAUGUUAGCAACAGUUAGUUUCUACAACAAAAAAUCAGUAAAAACUUAACCAAGAUUCCACAAUUGUCGACUAUUCCCUUCCCCCAACUAGAACGAAACAUUGUCCUCAAUGUUUUAAAGGAAAGAAGUAGAGUUUAGAAGACAUCACCUGGGUGGUGCAACACAGAAGAAAAUAUUUACAAGCGGAGAGUUAAAUCUAAUUUGUACUUCUUACUGCGGCUACUGUUACCAUCAUUAUUUGGUCGCUCCAACACAAAGGUCCAGGGGUCUGGCUCCGGUUUAUAAGCUUGUAACAUAUCAAGUAGCUCAUUAGCAGUGUGAGCACAAAUAAAGAGUUUUUUCACAUUAGAAGGAAUGAAAUAGUUUUUUAUUGCAUGGUUAAGAAAUGCGAUAAAGUCAUCAUAAAAGUUAUUGACAUUUAACAAACCGAUAGGUUUCUGGUGGAUGUGCAGAUGGGCCCAAGAUGCUAGUGUCAUAAGUGCCUCUAGUGUUGCAAGAUCUCCUGGAAGGAAAAUAAAAGCAUCAGCAUGAUUAAGCAUUUCAGUUAUUCUUUCUUGCAUACCUGAGACGACUAACUCUUCUCCAGUUGAUGAGUCAGACGAACUGCCCAAUGGUUUUAGGACUCUUGGGAUGAUGCCUAACACUUGACUUCCUCUGAUAAAAGCUGCUUCUGAGACCAUUUUUGAUAACCCUCGGUUACCUCCUCCAUACACCAAAUGUAAUUUUCUCGCUGCUAUGCUUCGACCAAGAUCUAUGGCUGCCUCAACGAACUCUUUAUGUUUGCCAUAGGUAAAUCCAGAAAGCACACAAAUGUUCUUGAAUUGUCUAUUGGGAGUAGCGGCCAUUGUGAUACUUCUCAAAAAUAAUUUGUGAGUGCUUGACAAAAAAUAGAUCACAUUUAAGAAUCUUGGUGACAGUGGAUCACAGCUGUGAAUGAGGUAACAUGUCAGUGUGAAAUAACGCGUGAAGCACAUGGCUUGCGAGUCAAAAAGGAAACAGUAAAAAGGAAAAAGCAAACAGUAAUAAAAUUAUUAAAGACAAUAAUGCAAACAAUAAAACAACAGUGAAAUGAAAUAAAAUAACAGUAAAGUAAAAUGAUAUUUACACGUAGUUGCGACUGUGGCUCACAUCUUCCUCUGGUUUUACGUCCAGAAACGGCUUGAACGCCCUCUAUGGGUCGAGGAUGGGCUUCCCAUCCAGUUUUCUUAUAAACUGGCAAACAGGGUCGUUUAUAGUCAGAUUCCCGAGACUAUAUCGUGCAUGCUCUUUCUGGAAUAAUGGCCAUAACCGGAGAAUCGCUCCUUGCACAUAUCCACUGGGAUGCGUUUCAAGAGACAAAAGGAUAUCAUCCAAUGACUCCUUAUUCAAGCCAUCCCUAAUGAAUUGAAUCUUAUCUUCCCUGUUAUCAGACACCAUUCCUAAAGAACAUGGGUUUCUAUCGCAACUCAUUCUGGCACACUUAUGACAAGCAACAGAAAUUCUUCGAGCUCGUCGUUUUCUUGCAUAAUUGCCUUUACCACAACCAGGCAUGUAUGCAAUAAAUUUAUGAGGUAACUCACCUGCCAAUCGUACUUUAGCCUCGAUUAACCAACGGAUGUCUGCAGGUAUGUUAUUCCUCAUGAGCAAUCGCAUGCGUUCAGACCGGGCUUUAUAGAUUGUAAGGAGGGCAUUCUGAGGAAGUGAAGGGAAUCGCUUGUGAAGCUUUGCUAAAAUCUCGUUUCUAUCCAUACCUUCGCCUCAGAAUAUCAGUUAUUAUGGGAAACUGAAGUUAACCGACUUGAUUGUCACGGAGUACCGUUAUCCGCCACUUCACCGGGGUAACAAACUAAAGCACACAAACAGAAAAACAAAUUAAAACACACAAAGAAAAUUAAAAUCGUCCUCUUAUUGAAUUUACCUCAAGCUCCAACUGGAUGUCGUAAACACUUCUCUCAAUGUCUCUGAGUUGGCGUUCUAAACCCUCAACAUAGGCUACUAACUCUGGUGGUUGUAGAGCCCAAAUGCGUUGUGUUUUACAAAAUAGAAUCUGCCUUUUGAGAUGAGUUUUGACACGUUGAAGUGGUUUAAGAAUGUUCAGGAGGAACGGUCUAAGUAUGAGACUCAUGAUUAAAAAUGAUAAGAGAAAACUUAAUUGUUAAACAAACACACUUAUGCAAAAAUAAUUUCAAUUAGCAAAAGAAUAAUAAAAAGAAAGAAAGAAAAAUCAAAUCAAUAAAAAGAGAAAAAAAAAAUUAAUUCAAAUCUGGUGGGUCACUCAAAUUUAUUUCGGUGUCUUCUUCAUGUGGUUGGUACUCUAGAUAUGGCUUUAAUCUUUGACCAUUAACUUUAAACGUGACACCGUUCUUUGGGUCUUUAAUUUCAAUUGCCCCAUGUGGAAAAACAGUAUGAACAAUAAAGGGACCAGACCAUCGAGAGCGUAACUUACCUGGGAAUAGGUGCAAGCGAGAAUUGAAUAAAAGCACUUUCUGACCUGGAGUGAACGAUUUUCUCAUAAUUUGCUUAUCAUGGAAGACUUUCAUUCGUUGCUUGUAAAUCUUGGCAUUUUCGUAUGCAUCAUUGCGAAUUUCUUCAAGUUCUGCCAGCUGUAAUCUUCUUUCUGAGCUGGCUUGCUGCAUGUCAAAGUUGAAUUUCUUGAUGGCCCAAUAUGCACGAUGCUCGAGUUCCACAGGUAGGUGGCAAGCUUUUCCAUACACUAGCCUGUAGGGUGACAUCCCAAUCGGGGUCUUGAAAGCCGUUCUAUAUGCCCAUAAUGCAUCAUCAAGUCGUAAUGACCAAUCUUUUCUGUCUGGCCUCACCGUUUUUUCUAAUAUGUGCUUGAUUUCUCGAUUGGAGAUCUCAACUUGGCCACUGGUUUGCGGAUGAUACGGGGUCGCCACUUUGUGUGUGAUUGAAUACUUUGUCAAAAGAGCUUUGAAUGUUUUGUUACAAAAGUGGGCACCACCAUCACUGAUUAUCGCUCGAGGGAAUCCAAAGCGUGAAACAAUGUUGCUUUUCAAAAAUCCUAUCACCACUUUGUGAUCAUUGGUUCUGCAUGGAAUUGCUUCCACCCAUUUCGAUACGUAGUCAACACCAACCAAUAUGUAUUGAUGGCCAAAAGAAGGGGGAAAGGGUCCCAUGAAGUCGAUACCCCAUACGUCAAAAAUCUCAACCACUAAAAUUGGAUUUAGUGGCAUCAUGUUCCUUCGUGUAAUGCUCCCCAUUCGUUGACACCUAUCACAUGAAGAACAGAAAGUGUAAGCGUCUCGAAAUAUAGUUGGCCAAUAGAAACCACAUUGUAAAACUUUUGUAGCUGUUUUCUUAGCACUAAAAUGGCCUCCACACGCUUGUUCAUGGCAGAAUGAAAGGAUAUUUUGAAUUUCACUUUCUGGGACACAUCGCCUAACAAUUUGAUCUGCACAAUACUUGAACAAAUACGGGUCAUCCCAAAAGAAAUUCUUUAUUUCCGCAAAGAAUUUAGCCUUGUCUUGCUUGGUCCAAUGCUCUGGAAGUUUACCUGUAACAAGAUAAUUAACUAUAUCAGCAUACCAAGGUAAUACUUCCACAUUCAUUAAUUGUUCAUCUGGAAAUGACUCAUUCAAUAUUAAUGGAUCUGUAAUUGUGUCAAAAUGGAGACGAGAGAGGUGGUCCGCCACAACAUUUUCUGUGCCUUUCUUAUCCUUGAAUUCCAAGUCGAAUUCCUGCAAAAGUAACACCCAACGAAUUAGUCUAGCUUUUGCAUCUUUCUUUGUGAGAAGAUAUUUAAGAGCAGCAUGAUCUGUGAAUAUAAUUAUUUUACAACCAAUGAGAUAAGAUCGAAAUUUCUCUAAUGCAAACACUACUGCUAGCAUUUCUUUUUCAGUAGUUGAAUAAUUCAACUGUGCAUCAUUCAAUGUCAUACUAGCAUAGUAAAUAACGUGGGGAAUUCGAUCAACUCUUUGUCCUAAUACUGCUCCUACUGUAUAAUCAGAUGCAUCACACAUGAGCUCAAAUGGUAAGUUCCAGUUUGGGGCCUGAAUGAUGGGUGAUGAUGUCAACAACUGCUUUAAUUUUUCAAACGCCAUGAGACAUGAAUCAUUAAAGAUAAAAGGUACAUCCUUAGCAAGUAAAUUGCAUAAGGGUCUAGAAACUUUGCUAAAAUCUUUAAUGAAACGUCUAUAAAAACCAGCAUGUCCAAGGAAAGAUCUUACUUCUCUGACUGUUUUAGGUGGAGGAAGAUUAGAAAUGAGAUCCACCUUGGCUUUGUCAACCUCAAUACCUUUGCUCGAAAUGAUGUGACCGAGAACAAUACCUUGUUUUACCAUAAAAUGGCACUUCUCCCAAUUCAAGACUAAGUUCUUCUCGGUACAUCUCUGCAGAACUAGCGUUAGAUGAUGUAAACAUUGAUCAAACGAGUCACCAAAGAUAGAAAAAUCAUCCAUAAAGACUUCAAGGAAUCGUUCAACCAUAUCAGAAAAAAUGCUCAACAUGCAUCGUUGGAAUGUAGCAGGUGCAUUACAUAAUCCAAAUGGCAUUCUCCUAUAUGCAAAAGUGCCAAAAGGGCAAGUGAAAGUAGUUUUCUCCUGAUCUUUUGGUGCUAUGGGAAUCUGAUUAUAUCCUGAGUAGCCAUCUAGAAAGCAAUAAAAUUCAUGGCCUGCUAAUCUAUCAAGCAUUUGAUCAAUAAAUGGUAAAGGAAAAUGGUCUUUACGUGUGACAGAAUUCAACUUUCUAUAAUCAAUGCAUACACGCCAUCCUGUAGUUACUCUAGUUGGUAUCAAUUCAUUAUCAGCAUUGGUAACUACUGUGACUCCUGACUUUUUGGGGACGACUUGUACAGGACUGACCCAUGAACUAUCAGAAAUUGGGUAAAUGAUACCUGCAUCUAAUAGCUUAAGGACUUCAGUUCUAACAACUUCUUUCAUGUUAGGAUUUAACCGACGUUGCAUCUCCCUAGUAGUUUUAGCAUUUUCAUCAAGGUGAAUGUAAUGCAUGCAGUCUACUGGAUUUAUACCUUUUAUGUCUGCUAUGGUCCAUCCUAAUGCCCCUUUGUGCUCUUUUAACACAUCCAACAACUUACCUUUUUGUUCGUCAUUUAGGGAUGAUGAGAUGAUUACCGGUAGAGUGCUUUCUUCUCCCAAAAACGCAUAUUCCAAUGUGUUGGGCAAUUGUUUGAGCUCGAGUUUUGGUGGUGAUUCUGAUGAUGGGAUGAGUUUCUUUUCUGACGGUGCUAGUUGUUCUACUCUUGACUUCCAUUUAUUAGUGUCCAUGGAUGGUGCUGAGUCAAGUAGGGCGUUGACCUCUUCGACCGAUCUAUCAAUAUCAAAAUCCAAACCAAAGUGAGUUAAGCAUGUUUGUAAAGGAUCAUCACUAAGGUUUGAAAGAAAAGUAUUAUCAACUAUUGUUUCUAUUAAAUCCACAUCAACAAUUCCAUCAUCUGCACUGUGAGGUUGUUUGGCAAUGUUAAAGAUGUUUAGCUCCAUAGUCAUGUUGCCGAAGGACAAUUGCAUAUUUCCGGUCCUACAUUGAAUAUGAGCAUCUGCAGUUGCCAAGAAAGGUCGGCCUAGAAUAAUGGGGAUGUGCUUCCUUGAGUCCUGUAUUGGUUGAGUGUCAAUUACAAUGAAAUCAACAGGAAAAUAAAACUUGUCUACCUGGAUAAGCACGUCCUCCACAAUACCACGAGGUAUUUUUGUGGACCGAUCUGCAAGUUGUAACACCACUGGAGUUGGGUGUAAUUCUCCCAGUCCAAGUUUCACGAAUACAGAGUAAGGUAACAAAUUUACACUAGCUCCUAAAUCCAACAAAGCAUUCUCAAUUGUGUGGUUCCCUAUACUACAUGAGAUAGUGGGGGAGCCUGGGUCUUUGCAUUUUAAAGGAAUUUUAUGUUGGAGUAUAGAACUAACGUUUUCUGUUAAAAAUGCCUUCUUUUGAACAUGCAUAUUUCUCUUUUUAGUACAAAGGUCUUUAAGAAACUUGGCAUAAGAUGGAAUUUGUUUUAUAGCAUCAAGCAAAGGGAUAUUGACACUUACCUGUUUGAAGAUUUCGAGAAUCUCACCUGUGGAUUUUCCCUUCUUGCCUUUAGCUAACCUCUGAGGAAAUGGAGCUUUCGGAAUAUAUUCUCGUGGGUUGGUUUCUUCUCUCUCCUCCGGUGGUGAGUCCUCAGCAUUUACAGGUACAAUUUGAUUUUCUUUUGUCACCUGCAUCUCCACUUUAUUGUCGACUUCUUUUCUUUUUCUCAAGGUCAUUACUGCUUUGACCUCUCCAUGCUGCUGUGGUGAACUGGUACUUGCUUCAUGCACUCCUUUAGGAUUAGGCACUGGUUGACUCGGAAACUUGCCUUUCUCAACAGUCAUUGCCAAGGUCUGAACUGAAGAAGCAAGCUGUCCCACCAUCUUCUCGAGGCUUGAAACUGAUUGGGCUUGUGAAUUGAAGCCCGCUCUCAACUCAUUUCGUAGUCCAUCAAUGGUGCGAUUCUGUUGCUCAAUCGUGGAGUGAGUAACAUUCUUGAAAUUCUGGAAUGCAUCCUCCCAUGGUCUGGGUUGAGAGUAGUUCUGGUUUUGAUUGUAUGGUCUAAAUGGUGGCUGAGAGGCUUGAGGAUUUUGAGGAAUUGGUUGCAUUGGUGGAGCUGGAGCUGCUGGUCCAUUCUGUUGAAAUCCUUGAGACCAUGAAAAAUUGGGGUGGUCUCUCCAUCCAGGAUUAUAUGUGUUGGAGUAUGGGUUGUAAUUAGAUGGCUUUCUCAUUACACCUAUGGCAUUGGCUUGAUCGGAGUAUGAGUCAUGGUCAUGUGGUUCUGUUGAUUUAGCAGUCGAUAACGAUGCUAUUUGUCGAGCAAGACCUUCAACCAUCUCCUUGACUUCUUUGAUUCCCGAAGUUGACUCGCCAAUGUGAACCUCAUUCACUCCUUUAAUCCUUCUAGUAUUCCUGAGUGAUCGACUCCGUUGUUGGGAAUUAUCCGCUUGUCGCUGGAAGAAUUCCCAAAUCUCUGUUGCGCUUUUUGACAUUAGCUCUCCUCCACUUGUUGCCAUUAGCCAUUCUUGCACAUUCGGCAAUAAUCCCUCCAAAAAGUAUUGGCAUUGGUGCCAUUUUUCGUACCCAUGAUGUGGACACUUCAAGAGUAGUCCAUUGAAUCGCUCCCAAGUUUCGAAAAACUGCUCGUCCUCUCUUUGUGUAAACUCUGAAAUUUCCCUGCGAAUAGAAUUGGUUUUAUGCACUGGGAAAUAUUUAUUUAGAAAUUUUGUUACCAUUUGUUCCCAUGAUGAAAUGCUAUUGGCAGGCAAUGUAUUAAGCCAUGAACGAGCUCUAUCCUUUAAAGAAAAUGGGAAUAGUCUAAGUUUUACAUCAUCAUCUGAAAAAUUUUCAUAUUUAAAAGUUUGACAAAUAGCAUGAAAAUCAUUCAAAUGAUUAUAUGGGUCCUCAUUUUCUAGGCCAUAAAAUGUGGGGAGACAAUUUAGCACACUAGGUUUUAAUUCAAAACUCCUAGCAGCUACAUUUGGGUAUCUUAUGCAUGAUGUGCUCAAAUUAGCUAAGGGACUAAAAUAGUCCUUAAAUGGCCUCUCCUGUGGUGCUUGUAAAUCCAUUUUAUUUUUAACGUGUUUGUGUGUGCGAAGUGUUUUUUCUAAUUCAAGGUCUAUAGGUUCAAUAUUAGGUAAUAAUGACCUACGACCAUGCAUGCAAAAUAAAUAAAAUAAAAAUAAAGAUGCAAACAAAACAAAAAAUAAAGAUGGGAACAAAACAAAUAAAAAAUAAAGAUGAGAACAAAACAAAUAAAAAUAAAGAAGAGGGAGAAAUUACGAUACUAACCUCAUUGCGCUAUUACAACCUUACUAUAAAAAUACACAAAAAUAAAUACGUGAAAUAAAUUAACUAAAAAUUAAAUUAAUAAGAUAAACAAAAAUUACAAAGAAAAAAUAAAUUGAAAAUUAAAUUACAGAAUUUUAAAGAAGAGAAAAAGAAAAGAAAUACUAACCUUUAAAUGUAGAUUUACUCUUUUUUUUUAAAGAACAAAAAAAAAAAAAAAAUACAAGAAAACAAUUUAAAAUAAAUUAUUCACAAAAAUUAAUUCUAUGAAUUAAAACUACUUACCUCCCCGGCAACGGCGCCAAAAACUUGUUGUGCAAAUUUUAAUGUACUCGCAAGCGCACGAAUCUAUUGUAGUAUAGAUCAAUGGUGACGAGUGUCGAUCCCACGAGGAGGUGGAUUUUAAUUGUGUAUAGAAUUAAUUUUGUAAAUGGGUGGUUGGAUCUGUGGUGGAAAUGAAUUGGAAUAUGCUAAAACUUAAAUUAAAAUGGCGAGAAUAAAUUCUAAAAUUGGAAUUGCAAUGGCGAGAAUAAAUUGAAGAGAAAUGUAUUGAAAUGACGUACUUGGGUAUCUGGAUCCGUAUCAACAUGCAUCAUGGGCUAAAUAAUCCGUAUUAAUGCCAAUUAAAUCAUGAGGGGGGAAUCCACACCUCAUGAACCACGCUCUAAUCAAUAUGGUGCUAAGGGCUUAUCGUGCCAAAUAAUAAUAACCUUAUACUAGAGAGCCGGUGUAACCAAGGCGGUAUCUAGACAAGAUCAGUAUUAUUUGUCGACGAUAAGUCAAAUCAUCCACAAAAACUAGAGGGGAAAAGAAAAUAAAUUUACCAAAUAAAGCCCAUGACACAUGUUGAGACUUCACCUUCAACCCAAGCUUGAAAGGAAAUUAGCUACUCAUAAUUGAACUAGGGGCAAAAUGAAAAUUUAUUAAAAUACGAAGAAAAUACAAGAUGGAGAAGGAAUUACAGAAAAUGGAUCCCAAAAAUGGAUUCAGAGAUAUCAAAUUAGGGGGGGGAGGCCCCUUUUUUAUAGAUACAUGGAGUAAAUCAUGGCCAUCGGAUUAAAAACAGUUUGGACGCUCAGGAUUGCGCCACGUCAUCAGUCAACAGUCCACGGUUUGACCACGCGGAUGAACAGUAACACGGUUUGACCACGCGGAUGAACAGUAACGCGGUUUGGUUGAAAAUAAUCCUGUGUGAUGCAUGCACCGUACGCGAGAUUUUUCGUCCACUGAUAUGCUGCCACGUCACCAUCAACAGUACAUAAGAAUUUUAGUCCAACAGGAUCGUGACACCUCAUCAGUCAAUGCCACAUCAUCGGUCAAUGCCACGUCAUCGAUCCGUCUAUGUGAACAGUGUCGUGAACAGUAACGUAGACAGUACCGUAUACGUGAAUAGUACCGUACAUGUGAAUAGUGCCAUUUUUCUUUUUAUGCCCCUCCUAAGGUUUUCGACCGUCCUGAGUUCAAAAGUGAUGUCCGUUUUGCCAUCUGAUCUCUCCUUUAUUGUGAAAUAACUAUAAUGCCCCUAAAAUACAUAAAAUACUUAAUUAAAAUAAAACACAUGUAAUUAAAUCACAAGAAGGUUAAAUACAUAAAAGUAAGGGUUGUUAAUAAGACUUGAAAUGUAAAAUGACGGUUUUCUCCUUUAUAAAUAUGCAUUUUCUAACACUCAACACUAGUGAGGUUCCAUUUAGGUGUAUUGGGGUUGUGGGUUUUGUGAGUUUUUUCCACUUUUGUAAAUUCUCAUUAUUAGUAAAAUUAUCUUCCAAUCUUUGCCCGUGGACGUAGGCAUUAUGCCGAACCACGUAAAUUAUUGUGUUUAUAUUUUCUUUGUAUUUGUUUGGCACAUUUAUAUUUCUCCAAAAGUUACAUUCAUCGUAAUAUUGGUAAUUGCUCAACCUCGCACUUCCGCAACAAUUGGUAUCAGAGCAGAAGGUUCGUGCUUGGGGCAUACAACAUUGUUCACGUAUACGGAACUGUUCACAAAUACGGUAUUGUUCACGUAUACGGUAUUGUUCAUUGAUAUGGUGGAGAUGGUCAUUUAUACUUGGGAGACAGUCUAUUGAAAGUAGUGUGUAUUUUUUCAUGUCUAGGAAAGUCCUGUCAACAAGGCGAUAAAAGCUUAAGGAGUCUGGUUUUAAGUGGGACCGUUGUGACCCCUCCAUUCUCCUAGGAACUUUCCUGGUGCAUUUAUUCAUGCGAAAUAAAUAUCAUAGAGGCUAUUUUUCAAGUGUAAAUAGUUGUUGAAGAAACUGAUCAUUUGAGAUAAAAAUGAUGGCAGAGGCAUCGUCGUCGUCGUCGUCUUCAUCAGCAAGGACUACUGUGACUAAUGCAAAGUUUGAAGUGGAGAAAUUCAAUGAUACCAAUAAUUUUGGUAUGUGGCAAUGUGAGGUGUUGGAUGUCUUAUGUCAGUAAGAGUUGGACGUUACUCUUAAAGAAAAGCCUGACAUAAUGGAUGACAAGGAGUGGAUAAAGAUCAAUAAACAGGUAUGUGGUACUAUUCGCCUAUGUUUGGCUAAAGAUCAUAAAUACUUUGUUAUAAAGGAGACAUCGGCAAAGAAAUUGUAGGAGACAUUGGAAGAAAAAUAUAUGAAGAAAAGUAUAUAAAGAAAAGCCUUAAAAAUAAGCUUUAUAUGAAGAAGAAACUUUAUCUAUUCACAUAUACACCUGGCAUGUCGAUGAAUGACCAUGUAAAUUCAUUCAACAAAAUAUUGGCAGAUUCACUAAAUUUGGAUGAGAAAUUUGAAGAUGAAGAUAAGACACUGUUGUUUUUUAAUUCCCUUCCUGAUGAAUAUGAUCAUCUCACUACCAAUUUGCUUCAUGGGAAGGGCAGUGUCACAUUCGAUGUUGUAUGCAGUGCAUUGUAUAACUCUAAGAUCAGAAAGAAAGAUAGAAAAGAUCACAGAGAUACAGUUGUAGAAGCAUUAACAACUAAAAGUCGUUCACAAGGCUGUAAACUUGGAAAAAGAAGCAAGUCUAAAGGGAGACCUGCCAAAGAUGAGUGUGUUUUUUGUCGCGAGAAAGGACAUUGGAAAAAGAAUUAUCCUAAGUUACAAAAGGAUAAGGCUUCUUCUUAUGCAUGUGUAGCAGAGUAUGAUGAGGAGUCAGACUUUAGUCUGGUUGGCAUGACGUUGACAUGUUACUUAGAUGAGUGGUUUUUGUAUUCGAGUUGUGCUUAUCAUAUGUGUCCUAACAAGGGUUGGUUUUCUAACUUCAAGGAGCUGGACGGUGGAAUUGUUUUUAUGGGCAAUGACAAUGCCUGUAAAACCUUGGAAAUAGGUACAAUUCAAUUAAAAAAUCGUGACGGUUCAAUCAAAGUCUUGACGGAUGUUCACUACAUACCAAGUUUAAAGAAAAAUCUCAUCUCAUUAGGAGUCCUAGAAUCUAAAGGGCUCACAAUCACUCUGAGAGAUAGAUUAUUAAAGGUAGUAGCUGGCACACUAACGGUGAUGAAAGACACAAGAAGAAAUAACUUGUACUAUUUUCAAUGGAAUACAAUUAUUAGAUCAGCAUCAACAGUUUUUGGAAGAGAUGCAGAUUCAGAAGCAACCAAGUUGUGGCAUAUGCGUUUGGGACAUGCUGGUGAAAAAUCUUUACAGACUCUAGUGAAGCAAGGCUUAUUGAAAGGUGCAAAUUCUUACAAAUUAGAAUUUUGUGAACAUUGUGUUUUAGGCAAGCAGACAAUGGUAAUGUUUAGUUCAAUAAUUCACGAUACAAACUUCCUCGGGGGAGCAUUAAAACCUUCGAGCAGAUGUGCCAGGAAUUUGCAGAGCAGUUUCGUGGGGCAAUGGCACCAGAAGAUGCCAUGAUGGAAUUGAAAAACAUGAAGCAGGGGGAAUAAUAAACACUUCGGGAAUUCAUCAAGAGGUUUUACCAUGUUGUCCUUGAUUUGGGAGCCUUCAACCAUCCUCAGGCAUUAAGGGGACUGAAAGAAUGGGUGAAGAUAGGAAGACUGUGGUACAACUUGAGAAGCCCAGUUAUUCAGACGUACGCCGCCGCAUACAAGCAGGCUAAGAGGGACAUUGAGAUUGAAGUGGAAAAGGCAGCACGGAUCAAGACAGACCAGUUAGAUGGGUUGGGGAAGAAAGAGAAGAAAGCAUUGCCAGGGAACGGGCCGAUCAGGAGGAGAGACCUUCAGGCCUCAAGUAGUGGAGCAGGAGAUCGGGUAACUACUGGCCAUCCUCAUCAGAGGCCACCACAGUAUCGGCGCAGCAGGGCGCAACCUCCUCGUUCCCCAGCUAGGGAGCCUUGGAGAAGCCAUGACUCGGCAUAUGGUGGUCUUCAUCAACACUCCCACGGUAGUAGGGGGCAGACCAGAAGUGCUGCCACCGCCUCCAACUCAGAACGGAGCAAAUAGAGAAAAAGCAGUGCACCUGAUCGACCAGAACCAGGACUAUGGGCAGUACACUUCCUUAAAGAUGUUCCUGGACGAGGUGUACGAGGCCAUAAAGGAUCGAGGGUUGCUAUACCUCCCUGCCUCAAUAACAAAACUACCCAGCAGGAGGGAUAAGGGACGCUAUUGUAAGUUCUAUGGCGCGCAUGGCCGUACUACAACAGAAUGUAGAGAUCUAAAGACCCAGGUCGAAGAUUUGGUGAGAAAUCGAUACCUGGACGAGUUUAUAGAGGGGACUUUCCCGAUGGUGGCCUCGACAUGCGAGGGGGAGCAGAGUGGCAGAAAUUUGAGGCACGAGUAGCCUACAGUAAGGGUGAUUGCUGGGGGCCCGACAUUGGCUGGAGAUUCCAACAGAUCUAGGAAGAACUAUGCUAGAUACGCCAUGACUAGUAAAGAGGUAUUCUUCAACACCCCGGCAGCCAAACGAGCAAGAGUCAGGCAAGUGCCAAUCAUGUGGACAGACGAGGAUGAAAAAGGGAUUUUAUACCCACACGAGGAUGCCUUAGUCAUCAAGGCCACUGUUGCUAGCAGGAAGUUUGACCGGAUACUAGUCGAUAUAGGAAGCUCGGUUGAUGUGUUGUUCAAGUCCACUCUAGAGGAGAUGAGAAUAGCAGACCUGAGGUUGGAGCACACCAACACCUCCUUGAAGGGAUUUGGAGGAGGAAAGCUGGUCCCCCUGGGUGUGGUCGAGCUGCCUAUCACAAUCGGAAGCUCCCCGACAGAAAGGACUAUGAUACUAGAUUUUGUGGUGGUUGAUGAAGAGGGUCCUUACCAGAUAAUCCUAGGUCGGCUGUUUCUGAGGAUGAGUAAAGCAGUACUGUCCAACCAUUAUCUUGCUCUCAAGUACCGGGUGAAUGGGGUAGUUGGAGUGGUACGAGGAGACCAGAGAAUCGCACGAAGCUGUUACUCCUCGGCAGCAAAGGAAUCGAUACAGAUAACAUCCCUUGAUACCCGAGUGAAAGCCAGGAAUGGCAACUUAUUGGACUCGGAGUUUACAAGCUGGUUCGCAAGGACGGCCACGAGGUGAAAUGCCCAUGGAACGCAGCACACCUCCGAAAAUACUUCCAGUAAGACUUGUUCACAUUUGAAAGCUAUUUCUGCUCGUGUUCAUUAUCGUUUAUCUUUUAUGUUUUAUAUCCAAACAAUUUCAUGUAAGUCGAAUCCUGCCAUUAAUGGAACGUCGAGGAAUUUCAUUCGCUUGAAACUGUGAAAAUUUCCUAAGGCAUGCAAAGGCUCGUCAAGUCUCAAAGCCUGUUUAUGGCGAGACCAGAAGCCAAGCGUGCCAGGAUCUGCUCGGCCACGAGAAGGCGAGCAGAAUCCCAAGCUUUGAAGAAAUUACCUAAGGCAUGCAAAGGCUCGACAAAGUCUCAAAGCCUGUUUAUGGCGAGACCAGAAGCCAAGCGUGCCAGGAUGUGCUCGGCCACGAGAAGGCGAGCAGAAUCCCAAGCGUUGAAGAAAUUACCUAAGGCAUGCAAAGGCUCGUCAAGUCUCAAAGCCUGUUUAUGGCGAGACCAGAAGCCAAGCGUGCCAGGAUCUGUUCGGCCACGAGAAGGCGAGCAGAAUCCCAAGCGUUGAAGAAAUUACCUAAGGCAUGCAAAGGCUCGUCAAGUCUCAAAGCCUGUUUAUGGCGAGACCAGAAGCCAAGCGUGCCAGGAUCUGUUCGGCCACGAGAAGGCGAGCAGAAUCCCAAGCUUUGAAGAAAUUGCCUAAGGCAUGCAAAGGCUCGACAAAGUCUCAAAGCCUGUUUAUGGUGAGACCAGAAGCCAAGCGUGCCAGGAUCUGCUCGGCCACGAGAAGGCGAGCAGAAUCCCAAGCUUUGAAGAAAUUAUCUAAGGCAUGCAAAGGCUCGACAAAGUCUCAAAGCCUGUUUAUGGCGAGACCAGAAGCCAAGCGUGCCAGGAUCUGCUCGGCCACGAGAAGGCGAGCCGAAUCCCAAGCUUUGAAGAAAUUGCCUAAGGCAUGCAAAGGCUCGACAAAGUCUCAAAGCCUGUUUAUGGCGAGACCAGAAGCCAAGCGUGCUAGGAUGUGCUCGGCCACGAGAAGGCGAGCAGAAUCCCAAGCUUUGAAGAAAUUACCUUAGGCAUGCAAGGGCUCGACCAAGUCUCAAAGCCUGUUUAUGGCGAGAUCAGAAGCCAAGCGUGUCAGGAUCUGCUCGACCACGAGAAGGAGAACAGAAUCCCAAUCAUUGCAGAGAUUACCUAAGGCAUGCAAAGGCUCAUCAAGUCUCAAAGCCUGUUUUAUGGCGAGACAGAAGCCAAGCGUGCCAGGAUCUGCUCAACCACGAAAAGGUGAGCAGAAUCCCAAUCCUUGAAGAAUUGAAGGCAUGCAAAGGCUCGUCAAGUCUCAAAACCUGUUUAUGGCGAGACCAGAAGCCAAGCGUGCCAGGAUCUACUCGACCACGAGAAGGCGAGCAGACUCCAAAGCAUUCGAAAAAAUUCCUAAGGCAUGCAAAGACUCACCAAGUCUCAAAGCCUGUUUUAUGGCGAGACAGAAGCCAAGCGUGCCAGGAUGUGCUCGACCACGAGAAGGCGAGCAGACUCCGAAGCAUUCGAAAAAAAUUCCUAAGGCAUGCAAAGGCUCACCAAGUCUUAAAGCCUAUUUUAUGGCGAGACAGAAGCCAAGCGUGCCAGGAUCUGCUCAACCACGAGAAGGCGAGCAGACUCCGAAGCAUUCGAAAAAAUUCCUAAGGCAUGCAAAGGCUCACCAAGUCUCAAAGCCUGUUUUAUGGCGAGACAGAAGCCAAGCGUACCAGGAUCUGCUCGACAACUAGAAGGCGAGCAGACUCCGAAGCAUUUGAAAAAAUUCCUAAGGCAUGCAAAGGCUCACCAAGUCUCAAAGCCUGUUUUAUGGCGAGACUAGGAGCCAAGCAUGCUAGGGUCUGCUCGACCACGCGAAGGCGAGCAGAAUCCCAAGCAUUGAAGAAUUUUCAAAGGCAUGUGGCAAAACCAUGUGCCAAGCCAGAACCUGCUCGACCAGACAAAGACGAGCCGAUUCUCAAACGAAAAAUAACUCAUGAUUACGACACAAGAAAGUAAUCAAAAAUAUUUUUAUUAAUUUGUUAAUAAUUAACAGAGGAGAUAAUCUUCACAAACAUUGUUCAUUACAAUACAAGAAACAUAUUUAAGAAGAUGGUGGGUCCGCAAGCCGAGCAUCCUCAGUUAGAUGGUCCACCUCAGGUGCUGGGGGAGUAUCUCCAGUUGCGUCUGGGGGGGUACUCGCCUCACCAGCAUCAGCAGGGAUUACACGGGGAGGAGAGUUUUCCUCUUCUAUCACCAUUGGUGCCACCUCUUCGGCAUCCUCCUUUGCAGCCUCCUCGUCCAUAUGUUGGGCGACACCAGCUGCAAGGUCGUCCAUCUUUAGAUCAGGAUGCUGCUUCCCGAGGACGGCCAUGAUGCAACGAUAAGAAUGCCGAAGUCCCUGGUCGUACUGGUUGUCGGCCUCCUUCUCCAAGUUCUCGACCUGACCUCGGUGGGAAUCGCGGAGGGAUUCGAGCUGAGCCUCAUACAUAGCCUUCUGCCUUUGAAGAUCCUCCUUGACCUUGGCCAGCUCUUCCUCGAGAGUAAUAGCCUUGGCUUGAGCAAGAGAUUCUCGCUCAAUCAACUUCAGAUUCUCGAGGUUUAAGUCCCCUGCUUUCUUCUCAGCAACAUCAGCUCUGGUCGUCGCCGACUGAAUGUCCUCCUUCAUCUUCCUAUCAUAACGGCCAACCUUGGCCUUAUAGUAGGUGGUCAUGCAGCUGAGAUGGAAAGCGCUAUACUGCAUGGCCCCCACCAGCUCGCCUAAGGUGUAGCCAUCAAAGUCCUCGAGGUCCUUCUUGCUCACGAUUUUGGAAAGCUCGUUGAGAUAGGGGGCCAAGUGUUCUGCUCGGCUGUCAGGUAAACGAGAUCUAUGCCCGACAAGAGGCGAAGAGGAAGCAGGAUCAGUGGCUGCUCCACUGGUCUCGUCGAGUUUGGCAGAAAGAAGAGGUAAAGUCUUCAAGGGAGAGACCUGCUGCACGAUGUUGGCCCGCUUUGCAGUAGGGGCAUCCUUGUUCUGGUCCCUCUUCGUGGUUUGGGGUCGAGAACGUUUCCUGUUUAGAGCCCCAAUCACGGCGUCCUCCAUCUUAUGACCAGGGAGUAUCAAGCGAGACUCGAGCAAGUUGUAUGUAGUUAUCAGCUCCCGGCUCGAGCAGGAAUUGGCUAGCACAGCCUCGACCCGUUUGAGCUGGCCAGGUUUGAGCGAGAAAUGAACACCCCAAGAAACUACAACACAAACAGACACUUGGUUAGAGACAAACCAACAAAGCGAGAACAAUUACGGAUACAAGACAUCUAAAGCGAACAGGCAACCUGGGACCGUGAAACGGGGUGGAACGCGAUAAUCCUUCCCGUCUAUUUGUGCAACUUGACCCCAAGGACCCCCAGCAAAAAAGAAUUUCCUCUUCUAAUUCCCACCACCACCAGUAGGGAGGUCGGUUAUGGGUUUCCUGGUCUUGGUACUAGAUUGAAAGUAGUACCAGCCGGCAUCUUUGGGGCUGCUCUUUAGCUGGUACAGGUGCUUCACCUCAUCAACUGUGGACUCGCUUUGGCAACAUCUGUCCCACAAUAUGAACAGACCAGAAAGUACUCUCCAACCAUUUGGGUUCAGCUGACCAGGAGAUAGAUUCAGCCCGUUAAGUAUCCGGGCAAAGUAAGGUUGCACGGGACACCUCAGCCCAUACUUAAAACUAUCCAGAUACAGGGUAACGUAUCCCCUAGGAGGCCGGCUAGGAGUAUCCUUCUUUCCUGGGACCUUAAGAGGGAUUUCACCAGGAAUACUAUACCUAAGCCGGAGGUCAUUGAGCUCAUCAAACGUGGUUAUGCAUGUCAUGUAAUCAAUAGCGUAAUCCCGCGAUAGGGCUCUACCUCCUAUUGUACUCCGCCCUUCUGGUCGCGACGCUCCUGAUGGGGACACCUCGCCAGAAUCAUCUCCUCGGCCCUCACUCAGGGUGUUCUCCGAGCCAGAAGACCCCUCUUCAUCACUAUCUCUGCUCGAGGAGGUCGUUUACGGAGACAUCCUCCUAGCGCUAGUGCCGACACUAGAUCUAAUGGGCUCUAAGGGGAUCCCGGGGUCAAAAGCAGGAUCAGUGAGCAGACUAGGCAGGAAGUCCAACUCAUCGUCGUCAACCUCAAUGACCUUCUCUUUACCUUUCGACAUUCCCUAAACUCUAACCACAACACCACCACCAACUACUACCCGAACAAAAGAGAACAAAAAUUAUCUACAACUAUCCGAGACCAAGGAGAUAGAAGAAAUACCUGAAGUAAUGGUUCAGUCGGUGAAAGACAGAGAUGGAGGCCUUUAUGCCGGAACUUCUUUGCCGGAGAGACAGGGACGGAGACAGAGGGAAUGAUGAAUUUGCUGUUUGAAAGGAUUUAGGUUUCCUAAUGGGGACGGCCUCUUGGGUUGCCAGCAUUUAACGGCACCAAAUCCCAAGGGCCUCGUAACCGUUGGUUUGAAAUUCGAAUAGAGGGGCAGAUUUCUGCCACAUCACCUCGUCCGCAAUUAAAUGCGAUAUGACUCUUGGCAGCCUUUUCCAGUCCCACGCGACCAAGAACCGCUAAGUUUCUACUGCUGGUCCAUUACAUUACCCAACACCAGAAACUGGGGGACCGGUGUUUGAGGGAAAUACUCUGACGAGACCAGACGUGAUGAGCAGAUGUUUGGUGGUAGAAGUCUGCGAGCAGGUGUGUCCUGUAAGAGCCAGGUAGCAGGGGAACAGGGGCAGGAAUAUCCUGCUCAUCCACGAGCACGUCAUCCGCGAGGCCAAUUUCCUGUAAGAAGCAUAAAGCCAUUCCUGCUGUAUUCUUGCUAAGGGUUGAUUCGAGGAGACCCGGUCAACGACAGUUGGCGAGGCAUGCUCUCCAGCCCGAGAAUCUAGGCACGAAGGCCACGCAACCACCCACGACUACGGAAAUGGGGAAUCCACGUUCGAGAGGUGGGAGGAUAACGGACGUAGACUGCGGAAAACUGGGAUUCAGAGGAAGCCUAUAAAAAUGUAGCCAACGAAGGUAAAAUGGUUAGCAAUUUUGAGAUUAGAAGGGAGAUAAAGAAAUUCUAAAGAAGAGAAAACUACCCAAAAGCCAUAAGAUCUGUGGCAAGCGUUCCCCGAACCUUCAUAUCUGACUUGAGCGUCGGAGGGUUUGCGUCGGGAAAACAACCGGCGUACUCUGACUUGUCUGUGUGCGCAGGAACCUCUGGAGAAGAAGCUUUACGAGGAGAGAUCCUGGUCGUGGUGAAGUUGAUCGAGCAGAGACCCUGGUCGUAGAACGAGGAGAACCAGAAUCUCGCAUCAACAAAACGUGUAUUUCAACCUGAGUACUAGCGAUUACCAGUGACUGAUUAACACUUGUUUUAAUUGUAUUCAGCAGUCAUAAAAAUUUACUUUUUCUUGUUAUUUAUUUAUACCACACAUUUUGACUACCACAAACUUAAGUUGCUUGGCUGACGUAUUUACCACAAAUAAAAACUAACAUUCGAGGUUUUUCUUUCGACAUUUCUAUAGAUGUUUUAACAUUUUAGAUUACAAUAUUUUUCAAAACUUGAUUUAGUCACUGAUUGUUGACUACGACGACGACAAAAAAUCUAUUUCGUUGUGAAAAGGAAUCCACAAGAGUACAAGACGGAGCCUUGAUCCAGUAAUAUUACGGAAAAUGGUAUUUUGUUUCCUUACAAAUGAAGAGAGGUUCUGUCUUUGCAGUGGGUAAGGUGAGGGUAUAGAACAUAUUAAUGGCUUUACUUAUCAUCAUCAACUUCCUUCUGUGUCUCUCAAUCUUUGUCUUCUUCUUUGUUUUGCAAAGGAACAUAACCUCAAGAAAUAAUACUAAAUUACCACCAGGCCUCCGGGGCCUUCCUUUCAUCGGUAACGUGCACCAGCUUGAUGUCUCAAAGCCUCACGUGUUAUUUUGGGAACUGUCAAAAAAAUAUGGCCCCCUCAUGUCCUUGCGUCUUGGGUUUUCGCCAUCCUUAGUAGUUUCCUCGGCGAAAAUGGCUAAAGAGAUAUUACAAACCCAUGACCUUCAAUUUUGCAGCAGGCCAGCCUUGGUAGCACAACAAAAGUUAUCUUACAAUGGUCUUGAUUUAGCGUUUUCACCCUAUGAUGAAUAGUGGAGAGAGAUAAGAAAAAUUUGUGUCAUUCAUCUCUUUAACUCUAAUAGGGUACAAAAUUUUCGACCCAUUAGAGAAGAUGAAGUUUCAAGAAUGAUUGAAAAGAUUUCAAAAUCAGUUGGUGCUUCUAAUCCCGUAAACUUAAGUGAGGUAAUGAUGUCUCUUACCAGCACCAUUAUUUGUAGAAUUGGUUUUGGCAAGAGGUACGAUGAAGAUAAAGCAACAAGUGGAAGAAGUAGAUUCCAUGCCCUGCUUAAUGAAACUCAAGCCUUGUUUGUAAGCUUUUUUGUUACAGAUUAUUUUCCUUUCAUGGACUGGAUUGAUAACCUCAGAGGAAUGAUGAAACGCCUGCAAAAUAACUUCCAAGAACUCGAUGGAUUCUACCGGGAACUCAUCGACGAGCAUUUGGAUCCAAACAGAACUAAAUCAGAAUUGCCGCAACAGGAGGAUAUAAUUGAUAUUUUACUUCAAAUAAGAAAAGAUCGUGGAUUUAAAGCUGACUUGACUUUGGAUCACAUCAAAGCAGUGCUCAUGGUGAAUAAUUUUAUAAAUAGUUAUAUGUAGACCGGUGCUUAGGCACAGACUCAAAAUUUUGCGCAGAUACCCAAUUUUACAGUCUUGUAAAAUGUUUUAUAGUGCUGUCAAGUGCUCUCUGAUGUCCCCAUCUGAGCACGAUUAACUUAAUAUAGUUUUAUUUGCUUUAACUAAUCUUAUAUGUAUAUAUUUAUGUUCUUUUUUUUUUAAUUUGCUUUUUUAAGUAAUUUAAUAUGUAUAUAUGUAUGUUGUUUGUUUGGCAGAACG